ACUAAACCUUUUUAAUUCCCAAUCUUAGUUAUUUUAGGAAAAAUGUGAACAUGGUGCUAGUCCAUGGAAUUCACACUUUGUACCUUACCAAGUCGUUGGUGGAGCGUGUGUGGUUAACCGGCACACUAACUUGGACUAGUAAGGAUCACGAAGGGUGACUUAAUGUUUGUCAUAGAUCAAUGGAGCGUGUGUGGUUAACCGGCACAUUGAUUAGGUGAUAAUAUUAAGGGUACCAAGUGAAUUGGUAUGGUUAUUCACACCUUGUUUUGUGAUCCUCGGCAUCCCAGUCACAAAAUUUGAGAGGGCACACUCGAGAUUGAAACAUGCCAUUGAAAAGUUCAAUGAAUCUCAAAAGAUCUAGGAAUUUCAAAUCCAAUUAAAACCUAAUAAAUUAUUUCGUUUUUCAUGGUGGAAAUUGGUGAAUCGUCAUUCGCCUACCUUCAAAUAUUUUAUAGCUUGGAUUACGGCAUCCCUCUUCCAAAUUAUAAAAUAUUGUGUUGGGUCCUAGCCUUAAUAUUUCAUAUUGGGUGUUAUAUUAAGGACUUUGAAUCAACUAACUUGAUUUUCUCCCAUUAUAGAUGUCUGGUUCAGACAACUAUGAUCUUCCCAAAUCUCUUGAAGAUGGUGUCCCUCAACAUCAUGCUUCACUUCCUCCACCUCCUCCAAUUAUUCUCCCUCACCCACAAGUUCUUGAAAAGUUUAAAGUCACUCAAUCCCUAUUGGCAAGCAUAGUCUAUGUGUGCUCACAUCUUGGAGAUAAAGUCACAUAUUGACAAGCCGGGAGAGUUGGGUGUCAAAGUCUCGUGAAAGUUGGAUGUUCAAUCACUUUCUUAGUAACAUAGUGAGUCUCUUUGGGACUACUAUGAGACAGACUAUGACAUGACCCUUAAUGAUGUUAUCUAUUUGCUUGGUGUUGUGGAAUCAGCAAUGAUUUGGAACACCAGUAAAGCAAAUUUGAUUAAAAGAACAACUUCCCAAGUCUUAAAUGGACAUUGACAAUGGUAGCAUUGGAUAUCUAGAAAAGGAUUUCUCUUCCCAAUGGAAAGGGAUCGGCCAUAGUCAACUCGGUUGACCAAAUGGUAAAGAGAAAGGCUAAGUCUGAGAUAGUCUCAUGUGCCAUUACCAAAGGGUCCAUGUGUUUUGUUGCCAAAGGAAGGGGCAUUGGUUGCGAAGCUGCCCUAUUCACCUGAAAGGUCAUAAGGUUGAUCAAGUCAAGAGGUUUGACUCUACUUCGGGUAAAGUCCACUGUCUAACUCUAUUAAGUUCCUAUUUGGAGAUUCUUAUUACAUAAUGUGAAUGGGUCACAUGCUGAUGUUUUUAAGAAUCAAAGAAAAGAUAGGAAGCUUAAAGUAAGUAUAUGUUGAUUCUGAUUGCAAAGGUGGGUUUCGAUCGCAUGGUUCGGCAAUCAGAAUUUUGAGCUGUUGCUUAAGAGUUAUAAUAUAUUGCUUAUGAAUAGAUAACAACAAGGUUUUCAUGUGGAUUGUAAGGAUAAGUUUUUCCGCAAAGUUUUAAAAUAAAAGAAAAAAAGGGUUUUAAUUUUAUUUAUUUUAAAAAUAUCCUUACAAUGGCAUCUGUGGAAAAUUGUUGCUUAUAUGUUUCCAGUAAUAGCAAUAUUGGAAAGUGGAUUUGAUUCUUUCAUUUGUGGUAGUGUCUGAAUUUACCAAAUGAAGAAAGUUUUUCAUCACCCAAGUUUCAAUUGGACAGAAACUUGGAAUCAUACAAGUUGUAUUGUAUGAUGAAUGAGAAUUUUCAUCUUUGAAAAUUAAGACUAAUUCUUUGAUCACAUGUAUAUGUGAGUCAAUUGAAGGACUAAGGAAUUAGGUACACUGGGUGUGCGCUGGUCAAGGUCCACCACAAAGAUUGAUUUGUCAUGAUUUACUAAAGAUUAGUAAAUAUGAUUAUACUUAUAAGGUUAAGUAUAAUUCUGUAACAUUGGAAAGGUUACAAUGUAUGACAAAACAAAUGAGAAGAAUCAAAUUAGGCAGAAAGAUAAAAGUUUCUCAAAUCUGAAAGGAUGGGAGAGUACUUUAGUAUCGUAUUUCAUGAUCAUCUUAAUGAUUAUGAAACCAUAUCACAAAUUCAUACUCUAAGGACGUCUUAGUGCAUUGUUAUGGCUAAGAAGAGAGGUCAUGAAUUGUUGGAUUGGUUAAAAUCAAGAAGAUGAGUCAUACUUCGUUCCAAAACAAUUCUUAGAGUCAUACUCCAAGAUUGUAACUUUGAGUGACAUAAAGGAAGAUUUAUUAACACUAGUCAAAUGUAAGAGUAAAAUGUUUUCUACUCUUGUACAUUUGAGAUUGGUAAGUUGUGAUGUCUUGGAUGAGACAAAGACCAACUAAGACCAAUUGUGUGAAGUGUUAGUCUUGAUAAGAAUCCGCACUAUCCCUUGAAUAUUUGUUUUGUCAAGGAAUGGUUCUUGACUGGGGAAACUUAUAUGUCAAGGGGACAGUGGGAGCCUUAAAGAUCCUGAAAGAGUUUCAAGAUUUAAUCAAGAGUAAAACCUGUAAUUUAUCACUAGCACACGACUUAAGGUUUGCAACCUAUCGUGUUGACAUAAUUCUUAUUUCUGUACCUACUUCAAAUAAGUUGAAUUUGCAUGUGAGUUAUCAGAGUUCAACUUGGAAGCAUUGGUGGGCCUUGUGCUACCAAGGUGACAAGAAACUAAGAUUGAACAAGUUUAAUCCAUGUAAGGCUGAAUUUGUCACUAACCUUAUCUUGUGAUUAUGGUUUUGACAAAUUCACAUGGAUAGGAACUCAUACACUAUAAAAUCUAAGUGUCAUAAGGUUUCUCUCCGAUUCAUGAAAAUGAUGGUGAGGAAACGCUUUCACUAAGUAGAUUUUACGUAGAUAUCAAUUGUGUUAUUUGCAUUUUCAAAAGUCGUUAGUGGAGCGCGUGUGGUUAACCGGCACACUAACAUGGACUUGUGAGAAAUGGCAAAUGCCUAAGCAAUUGAGACUAUGAUUACGGCAUCCCUUUUCAUAGUUCUGAAAAUUGUUUAGACACACAUGUGAGCUAUCUAAGAAAGGGUGUAUGAAUCUAAAUUUCAGAAGUCCAACAGAUUUCUGGAAAUGUGUCAGAGCUAGUGGGAGCAUAAGUGUUAUGCUGAUAAUCAUCAUGUUAGUGGGAGCAUGACUAUUAUGAUUAGUAUUGCAAGCUAGCAAUGUUAAUUAUAGAAAACAAAGUUUCAAUCCGUGAAGUUGCAGGGGUUGAAAAGUUGUUUUGCUAUAAUUAAGGGAGAGGAAAUUAUACUUCAUUUCAAUUCUAAAGCUUAGAUUGAGAUUUUAAUCAUCUUUAGUCAAGAAUAUAUAUAUGAAUUUUAUGUUGGAAUGGUUCAACUUGAAGAAAUUCUAUAUAUAUUGCGUUUUCAAAAUUCGAUUAUGAUUACGGCAUCCCUCUUCAUAGUUAAAUUUUGAAAACAUGGCAAAUAAAAAAUAUUGUAGCAAAAGACUGGUCUAGUAUCAUGUCUUUAUGUCAAACAUCAUGAAUCGUGUCCCAUAUGCUUCGGAUAUAGGAUCGAUUUCAUGUGCUAUAAUAUUCAUCCUUUCUAAAUUUUCCAAAUGCUUAAGGCAUUUAGAAGGGAAAAGUCUAGAACUGGAUAUGACUAAAGUGAUUAAGCAAUUGUCGAGGACAAUCUGAGGUUCGCCAAAGAUUGGUUGCUCAGGGACAUUUGGAAGUCUAGUGUUAAUUUUGGUAGGACCAUAUCGACAUUUUCUGAAAAGAGGUAACUCUUGUUCGGAAGUGAUAGUCAAAUAGGACUAUGGAAAUGUCUCCAUAGGUGGAAGUGAUUCAAUCUAUGUAAGAUUAGGAAACUUAAUGCAAAAAGGAUGUUCCCAAGGAGCUGAUCUCCUUUGGAAUGCUCUGUAAUGGUUGUUGUCAAGUCUUUCUGACUUUGUGCAUAAUCAUUACAAGAGGAUCAAUGCAUAUAAGUUUAGAAUCUAACAGAUUUCAGUAAAUGACAUAAAUUUGGAAUUCUUGCAUUUACAAUAAGGAUUUGGGAUUGUGAAAUGAGUAUCAUUGGAAUCAUGUUCAAUUGAUCUACAUCACAAUGUAAGGAUCAUAGACAAACAUAGUGUGCAUACUUGGGGUAUGGCAUAACUAUUGUUUAGAAAAACAAAGUGUACAUGCUAGGAGCAUGGGACGACUGUUGUUUUUAUUCAAGUCUUAAGUUGAUUAUUUGAAACAUUGAAUAAUGUGUAAUCAAUAUGGUGAUAAAUAAAAAGUGGUUUUAUUUAUAUUCAAAAGGGUUCUGAGACCAUAUUAGAUUCGAUUAUUAUUGUAUUUCACUUUGCAUGUUUUGACUUCCAAAAUAGCUAGGUUAUUCUUUCCGGAUGACUAAGUUAUUUAAACACUCCACAGUCGUUCAUAUGUUGGAAGUAGGUAUGAAUCAAGACUGUCAUGAAUCGGGUUUGUAGAUGGCUAAAUGAGUUUAGUCAUGGCAAUGGUUGCUACAACAUUCAUGAGUACUCAUAAGUUAUGAGUAUUGGAAUAAACCCACGCUCACUUGUAUCACUUCAUGGAAUUUAUCUCGAGUGAUCGUGAGACGAUAAUAUCAUAUAAAUCUUCAAACCUAGAGAUAUGAGUUGUUACCUAUGAGUUGGUUGUGCAUUGAUUGCACGUAAACGCAUCAGUAACUUGAUGUUAUAAAACGUGCCUUUGUGUACAAUUCAACAAGUAGUAGAACAAGCAUAUGAGUCGAAGUUUAUCUGCUCCUUCUAGAAAUAGAAGCGAUAUCUGGGCCCCUCGAUGAUUUUGUGUUGACCCAUGUACCGGGCCCGGUCAGAACUAAACUGAUGUGUUCAGUGAAGUUCUUAGUCAAACAAAUCGGAAAUCGAGAAACAACUGCCAGACAAUAAGCAAGACAUAGUUCCAUGUGUUUGUCCGGCUGAUAUCAUGAGAACAGAGGAUUAUAUGAUCACUUGUUUUAGAAUGGCGCUUCAUAGUUCAACAGGAAUUUUUUGUUCGAGGGAGUUUUCGAGAGCUACGAUUGUUGGUUGGUUCCUGAAGUUAUAGGCAAAUAUAGUUAUUAGACUUAUCCAAGUGGGAGUCUGUUGGAUAAGGUGUCUAAGUCCAUAACUUAUUUGGUAUAUACUUGACCCGACCGGCAUGGUCCAUUUGGGUUGCAUCUCAUCCAAACUAUUAUGGAUAAUUUUAUGAGAGUUAUACACAUAUGUUUAUUAAUAUAUUAUGAGUUAUAAUAUAUUAAUAUGAAGUUACGUUAUUUAAUUAGUUUUAGUCUUAAAUUAAUUAUGGAUUAAUUUAGAGAUUAAAAGGAAUACUAAUUAAAUUAUGGGCUAUUUGUUUUAUAUAGUGUGGGCUAAUACUCAUUUGUUAAUGGGCUAGGCUUAUGUGGAAGUCCAUGGAUGAUCCAUGGAGCUUUUAACCCAUGGAUCCUUGGAAUAGGAAAAGUCAUGGGUUAUUAGGGUUUCACCCUAACCAUGCACACUAUAUAAGCAUGCUUAUGGAGCAUGAAAUGGCAACUAGUGAACUAGUGUGUGUAAGCUUGUGUGUGGCCGAAAUAUACAAGUGUGUAUACUCUCUCAAAGUUUUCCAAGAGUUUGUGGUGUUUUGUGAUUCCAUUUGAGGCAUUCACACUAUUGGUGCUUGGCCCUCAAACUCCUCAAGAACCAAACUCAUCAAAAAGGUAUGUAAUCUCUUCUAACUCUUUUAUGUUGAAAUGUUCCCCAUGCCAUGUUAGAUAGGUUAUAAACCUUGGAAAAUUAUUAUUUUGCAUGUAUUUAGACAAACAUAGAUCCAAGGUUUACUAGGGUUGCAUGCACACUUAGGAAGUGUUAGAUUGCUCAAAACCCAAUAGGAGUAUAGUCAGCUUUCUAGUGUUGUAUGUUGAUGACAUACUACUCAUAGGAAACGACAUCCCAACUUUGCAGGAGGUUAAGUCCUGGCUUGGGAAGUGUUUCGCCAUGAAGGAUCUUGGAGAAGUUGCCUAUAUCCUAGGGAUAAGGAUAAUGAAAGACAAGAGUAAGAGACUGAUUGGACUUAGUAAGAGUACCUACUUGGAUAAGGUGCUGAAGACGUUCAGCACGCAAGAAUCCAAGAAAGGGGAAUUACCUAUCCAGAGUAAUGCCAAGGUGAGUAAGACUCAGAGUCCGAGUACAGAGCCUGAGAUAGCAGAGAUGAGUCGUAUACCAUAUGCUUCCGCUGUGGGCUCUAUCAUUUAUGCUAUGACUUGUACUCACCCUGAUGUGGCCUUUUCUUUAAACAUGGUGAGCAGAUAUCAAGGGAACCCUGGCAAGGCUCACUAGACUGCGGUAAAGAACAUUCUCAAGUAUCUGCGGAGGACUAAGGACUGGGUCCUUACUCUCGGUGGCAGUGAUGAUUUUAGAGUGGAAGGAUGUAGCGACGCUAGCUUUCAGACUGAUAGGGAUAAUUUCCGCUCUUAGUCAGGCUGGGUCUUUACCCUAAAUGGAGGGGCAUUUACUUGGAAAAGUUCCAAGUAGGAGAUACUAGCUGACUCUACUUGUGAAUCGGAGUACAUAGCAGCGAGAGAAGCAGCAAAGGAGGCGAUAUGGCUGAAGAACUUCAUUGGAGACCUUGGAGUUGUACCAGCUAUAAAGGAGCCAAUGGAAAUUUUUUGUGAUAGCGAAAGUAUAGUUGCUUUAGCUAAGGAACCAAGAGAUCACGGAAGAUCUAGGCACAUUGACAGAAAAUACCAUUUAAUCAGACAUUGAAUAGAAGAAGGACUCCUCAUGGCAAAGAGGGUAUCAUCAUAUGAGAACCCAACAGAUCCCCUCACGAAGGGACUGAGUAGGGUUAAGCAUUUACAGCAUGCGAGGCACAUCGGGCUGAAGGAUGAUAUUAGUUUCAAUAAUUAGAUUUCUGAAAUUUGUAAAAUGUAAUUGACAUUUUGAUGAUUAAAUAAAAGUUGUUAUUUAUUUAUGAGUAAAGUGUUACUAUCUUAUGUUAAUCGUUUACUAUGGUUUCAAUUUUGCAUGUUUUGACUUCCAGAAUAAUUAUUUUAUUCUAACUCUCCACAGUCGGUCAUAUGUCGGAAGUAGAUAUGAAUCAAGACUGUCAUGAAUUUGGUCUGUAUGAUAUGUCUAAAGGGUAUUAGACAUAGCAAUAGUUGCUGCAACAUUCAUGAGUGCUCAUAAGUCCUGAGUAUUGGAUUCAACCCACACUCACUUGCAUCACUUCAUGGAAUUUAUCUCGAGUGAUCGUGAGACGGUAAUAUCAUAUAAAUCUUUAAACCUAGAGAUAUGAGUUGUUGACUAUGAGUUGGUUUCCAUUGAUUGUACGAAAACGCAUUGGUAACUUGAUGUUAUAAAACGUGUUUUUGUGCAUAAUUCAACAAGUAGUCAGUACAAGCAUAUGAGUCGAUGUUUAUCUGUUCCUUCUAGAAAUAGAAGCGAUAUCUGGGCCCCUCGAUGAUUUGGUUUCAGAACCUAAUUGAUGUGUUCAAUUUAGUUCUAUUUCGAAACAAAUUAGAGAUCGAGAAACAAAUGUUGGACAAUAAGUAAGACCAUGUUCCAUGUGUUUGUCCGACUGAUAUCUUGAGAGCAGAGGAUUAUAUGAUCACUUAUCUUAAAUGGCGUAUCAUUAUUAUCUUAGUUCCGAGAGACUUUGAAAGAGCUACGAUUGCUAGUUGGAUCCUGAAGUCAUGUCUGCAAAUAUAGUUAUUAGACUUAUCCAUGUGGGAGACUAUUGGAUAUAGUGUCUAAGUCCAUAACUUUAUUUGGUGUGUACUUGACCCGACCCGACAUCGUCCAUUUGGGUUCCAUGGCAUUGCAAUACUUGGAUAGACUAAAUGAGAGAAAGGACACUUGUGAUUAUUAAUAUAUUAUAAGUUCUAAUAUAUUAAUAAUAGUAUUAUUUAAUUAGACUUGAUCAAGUAUUAAUUUAGAAUUAAUUUGGUGAUGAAAAUGAGACUAACUAAAUAUAUAGGGUUGAUUAUGACAAUCAUCUAAUCCUUUUAUGGUGGAUUUAUGAUCCAUGGUUUAUGGAGUUGGGUUAUAACCAUUUGGAGCUCCAUGGAUAGUUCAUGGGAGUUACAAACCCAUGGAUCAUUAGAAAUGAAGAGUCAUGAAAAUUAAGGGCAUUCAUGUGUAAACCCUAAUUGUGACAACACUAUAAAAGGAGCCCUAUAGCUAUCAAACUCGAACUACUAGUGAGUUCUAAGAGGGCAUAACCGAUUUUUGAGUGCAAGUGUAUUCUCUCAAGUUAUUCCAAGUCUUGUAGUGUUGUGUGAAGCAUUUGAGGCACAACAUUUGGGGUGCUAGGCUCACAAAGUCUUCAAGGAAUCCAAGCAACAAGAAAGGUAUUUACUUCUACUAGUUUUUAUAUUACAUAUUCCCCAUGCCAUGCUAGUUAGGAAGUAAACCUUGAAAAAUCAAAUUUGCAUGUAUAUUAAAGAAAAUAUAGAUUCAAGGUUUAUAGGGUUGCAUGUACACCAUAGGAGUGUUAGAAUGCUCAAAACCCAUCAGUAUGUUAAUAUACUUUUUAUAAAAAUACUUAGAUUUUAAAAGUAUAGUUUUUAUCAAAGCGCUUCAACCCCAUAACGUUUAUAGUUGUAUAUAUUUUUAUGGUUUGAUAUACUUAGUUCACUAUAAACAAUGCUCUGAUACCAAUCUGUCACACCCCCAAACCGGAAUGACGGAAACAUUCGAGGGUGGAGGACAUCAUGUACAGUAUCAUAACAAUAGCAUAAUAGUAAAACAAGCAACAACAUCCAUUGUAUUUAAAAUAUAUAGUUAAUACAUGUGUGUUCUGUGUAUUGUUUAUAAGACACCAGAAAAGUAUAGCAAAAUCAAAGCAGAGUCUUGUAUAAGCUUCGUCUUCUCAAAAACCUGGGUGAGUGUACCUGUCUACUGGUUCCCUUAGAGUACAAGUGAGUAUCAACAUUUUAGUUGGUGAGUUCAUAAGCAUUCAGUAUUUGAUGUUUGUAUUUGUUCCAUGAAAAUGAUAGUGUGUUCCCCAAAAAAAUCCCAUAUUUUCUCUAUUUAAAUGAAAAGCAGUCUUAGGCCUGAAGACCAAAAUGUUUUGUAUGUAAUUGUACUCUGAAAUAGUAUGAGUGUAUGUUUUCCAUAAAUGUAUGUUUUCUUUGGUAGAAAAUAGUGUACUGCAUGUGUAUGAACUCUAUAGUGUAAUAGUUCUGCAAAGUAAUGAUAGGUAGUCCUAUUACUUAUAAUAAAACCACUGAAGUAAUGUUUAUUUAGUAAACAAAAAUAUUUAGUUAAUGCUUAAUGUGAAUGAGAUUAUAAUCAUGUUAAAUUGACUAGUAUACUACACGACAUUCUCCAGGCAUCGAAAAGUUAUGACAUUUGUCACCCGUAGACCUACGGGUCACAGUGUAGCUAACAGCUGAGGUGUGGGAUUGUCAGUCCUGUAUAGAUCUAUACACAAAUUCACGCUCUCCCUCCAGGAGACUCUGGUUAUAUCGUAGCAUGAACCUUAUUAGGUACCAUGAUGUAGUGUCUCACAUUCUAAUAUUAACUCGUUUACAUAUAGUGUAUAUAUGUUUUCUUGUUCUUGUAACUGAAUAGUAUAUUUGUAAAGUAAAGUAAUUGUACUUAUGUGUUUGUUCAUGUAAUGUAUCCUCGAACUAGUAAAUAGUUUGAAUUGAUACAUAAACUAUACCUAUUAUAGUUUACAAGUUGUUAUGGUUAUAAUGAAAAUGAUUAACAAAGUUAUUAAAAUAGGUUUAAUAUUCAUAUAUAUAUNNNNNUAUAUAUAUAUAUAUAUAUAUUUGGAAUGUAUAAUUAAUAUUUAACCGACAGUCGGACAAAUGAUUCUACCCUUAGCCCACAACCAAACAAGGAACUGGAGUUAAGGCAUUAACAAUAGUCCUAAGUCCAUUAAAGCCUAAUUAUACAUAAAAAUACAUAAGAAUGUGAUUUUGAUAAAAACAAUAAUCUAAAUAGUUGAGAGUAGUUUAAAAAGGGGUGUUGAGAAUUUUCAUAAAAGUAAUUGUUUUCUUUUGAUUGUUUUCAUUUGUACUUAUGUCUUAACACAAUUUCAUUGUGGUUUGCUUGUAUUCUCCCCCUAAAAGAAUUGUAAAACGGUAAAACAUAGGGGUAUGAACUCACCUUAUGUGAGUGUUCGAGUGAAGAUACGGUGUAGUAGAGUUAAUUCCACGAGUUAAAAUCUGUAACAAAACUGAGUCCUAAUAGUAUUUCAUGCCAUAUAUAUGUAUAUAAUUAGCGAAUAUAGUGAUAAACAUGAUAUGGAAUAGCCUAAGAUGUAAGAAUCACUUACAAUAGAAGGAUUAGAAGUGAACCGUGAAACUGCUAGGAUUUUCCGGUCAGCUGGGCGUUUUCGUUUAGUUGAAAGGGUGAAGUGUUCUUGGUGAAACCACGAGGAUCAAGAUUGGAUGAUGAUUGUUUGAUGAUAUGAAGAACACUUGAAGAACUCGAUAUGAUCCUAUGAAGAUUCAAGUGAUCUUCGGAUGAUAGUUGAGAGAAUGGUGAGUUUUCGGUUGUGACUUUGAGAGGGAAAAGAGGUGUCUUCGGCUAGCAAGAGUAAGAAUGAAGUGUUGAUUUCGGUAUACUAGUGUAUAUGGCUGAAAUCAUGAUGGGUCACUUACAUUGGGAACGACAAGACACUUAAAAUCUCGUGCCAAUGGAUAUAAUUUAGGGGUUCUCGGUUAGGCACUCUAUCCGAGGAGUAGUUUUCGGCCGAGAACGGAAGCCAUGCGAGGUUUGCGGUCCGAAGAGUUUUCGGCUGAGAAUAUGUUUGCGGUCUGAAGGGGUAGUCUUGUAGGUUUGCGGCCGUAAAGGAUUUUCGGUGCGAGGGUUUGGAUUUAUGCGAGGGUUUUCGGUGGGAAGGCUCCUAUGCGAGACUUCUCGGUUUGUGUGUUUUUAAAUUCAAAAUUUGACAACACUAUUAAUAGAGGUUUAUGCAUAACAAGAUUAUUGAUUUAACUUUAAUAAAUUAACAAAACGUAUGAAUUUGACUUUUUUUUACAUGUUUGACUACGAAAAAUAAUGGGUUAGCACACCUGGAUCCCAUCCGCGAUCCUCAGAGUAGCCGACGAUGGAGCCUACACCGGUCUAGCAGGAAGCAAGGGACAAUUGGCCUUCACAUUGCUAAUCUAGUCACAGUGAUAGCAAAUCCUGGUGUUGGGUACUGGAGCUUGUUGAUGACAGUCCCUCGCAAUGUGCCCCUGCCUGCCACAUUUGCGGCAUCCAGAACUUCAGCGGAAUUGAACCACUUUGCCGCAGGUUGCGACUGUGUCGGGGCCUGCCUCUGCUCCCACGUCUGGACCUCUAUAUCGAUCUCUCGCCGCCUAGCUGCUUUUUGCAAAUCCACCAAUGAUCCAUAGCACUAUGUAGACACAAACUGAAGGAUGCCCAUCUUGAGCAUGCUCAAGUACCAUGUCAUCUGAUAUUUCUUGGAAGCUGCAAACUCAUGGCAAAAAAUAGCUCUCUCUGUAAACAUCUUGGUGAUCUUCGUCACCGACUUGGUCCCCUGUCUCAGAUCCAAGUACUCAUGAGCCAGUCUCUCCCGCUCCACCAAUAGAACAUACCUUGAGUGGAACAUCUCAAAUAAGUGCUCCCAUGAUACUGUCGCUCUCUGCUCUGGAGUGUAAAAACUAAGAAUCAAUCUCCACCUAUCAUUCGCUCCGGACCUAAGAAGGUUAAGAGCGCACUUGACCCUCUAGUCAGCUAGGCAAGACAAAGUAAAGAAAUAACCCUCGACAUCUAACAGUCACAACAUGAUAAUGAUCGGAUCCUGAACCCCAUCAAACACCGGGGGCUUUGUAUUGUCGAAGCCCCGGUAUUGGAAAGCUCUCCCAACGCCAAUCCUUGAUGCAGCGAUGGCUGCAGUGGCUGCAACAACAACAGCCUCAGAAAGUACAACGUAUCGUUCGUCUAAGAACUCCAUUAAACAGUCUUGACAGACCCAAACAACUCCGGUGUCCGCUCUUGGACAAUUGAACAACCUCCUCACAAAUGAUCUCCCUAACCCGGUCCUCAUUUAAUCUUGGCCACCUGCUCCGGCUCCUGAUCCGGAUCCUGACUCAAACUGCCUCGUAACAACCAUACUGGAAAUAAACCAGGGAGAUAUAAGAUAAAACACAUAUCAUACUAUAGGAACCAUUCCCCACUAAACCCUAGGGGUUGUAACUUCCGUGCUAUGCAUACAGGUCAUGUGCUUCCAUUAGUACGAGCCCAUACUACCUUCCGCACCCACCCAUAUUUGUCUCGGAGGAUCAUCACAACAACCCUAACAACACUCACCAGAAUAUGCAUAAACCCUAUUCUCACUUCCUAGAGAAAGGCUAGACAUCCCUCAACGGGUCGGCUGACUCCACAUAACUCAUCCAUGAAACUUCCACCAACCCUACAACACUCGUGUAUGCUAAUCAUACAUAACAUUGGAUCCUCUAGACAAUCAAAUACUUGAUUCUACCCUAAGCCCACAACCAAACAAGGAAUAGGAAAUAAGGCUAAAUCAAACAUUCUCAUGCUAUAAAAUCUUAGUAAUUAUGUUAACUUCAUGUAAGGAAGAAACCCUAAGCUACCAGGCAUCAUAUAAUCAGGAAAUUCUAUCAUGCAAUUCAUGAAGAUCCUUAGCUUAUCACUAGCAUGUUGUUCUAACAUAUCAUAAUAUCAAAUAAUAGUGUGGUAAUUCGAGGUCUACUUACUGGCUCCGACUGAUCGAACGCAUCACAUUCCAUCUUGAUUAUUUUUGAAAAAAAAAUUUAAAAAUCAUUUUUCAAAUCCUCACAAUUCCUUAGUUUCGAACUGGAUUUACACGUGUGUUCCUCCAAUUCGCUCAAACCAAGGCUCUGAUAUCAACUUGUAACAUCUUAAAAAUCACAACAAAUUUUAACUUUUUAAAUCAACUCAUUUACUAAUAAAAGUGUUAACAAAACCAUUGUUUCCAAAACAUUGUUCAAAACAGAGUCUCCCAAUAUCAAUAACGUAAAAUUAGGAUGUGUAUUGUCACACAUUCACCUUCCCAGGAUCCUCGACAGUACCUGAAACCAUAACCCAAAAACUGUCAGCCAACACUUAGUGAGUUUCCCCCAAAGUACCACGAGACAAAACACAUAUCAUACAUAAACGAGCAUGUUGGGUCCAAUCAGUCAUAGAACUGGAAUACACCCGGGUCUACAACCAUCAGUCUGAAUUACCCCUGGCCCAGUCACUCAUUGGACUGGAAUGCCAAUAUACAACAGGUCCACUCAGUCAUCGGACUGGACUACCAAUAUACAACGGGCCCACUCAGUCAUCGGACUAGAAUACCCUCGGGUCCAUUUUGCCAUCGGGAUGGAAUACCCCCGGUCUGUUUACCCAAGCACAAAGUAGUAAAGUCUCAACCCCACACAAUAUGUCGACAUAUAACAGAUAACAAACACAAUCAACAGACAUAUAAUCAUGCAGCCAGAAAUCAUAGGUAGUCCUACAGAUCUACCAGUCUACGCAUAUCAACAACCAUCAUAUAAUCAUGUAGGUCUAUCCCAUACUUAGCAUAUCAUAAACUAAUGUAUAUCAGAAUAUCAAUCCAAUGGGCCGACCUUGGUGCCUUCGACCCACAAGUACAGUGAGGAAGACUCACCUCACAAUCUAAACAAUAGUUUAUUAGGUCCCGAAUCUAAAUCUCAGCUCUAACCGUCACCUAUUCAUCCAAAUGACCAAUUCUCAAACACAAUCCAAAAUACCCAAAAUACCCUAGGUCAAACUUGGUCAAAGUCAGGUAAAAGUCAAAAUUCCAAAAAAGUCAGCCGAGUCAACCUAGUUGGUACACCUAGCUGGGUGUACUAAGUUGUACACCCAACAUAUAGGAUGAUUGACCAGGCACGGGCCUAUUGACCACGUACGCCUUAUAAACCCAACGUACACAGCUGGCUGCCAACCCAACUCACUAAGAGCUUAAUCCUAAAUCCCUUAAGUCCAUUUUCCAGAUCCAAGUACAAAAUCAUGUCUUUGACCAUAAAGUUUCCAACUUUAUGGUCGUGUAUGGCCAUUAAGUGCCCAACAUCAAAGAUGCUAACCUCUUAAUCCAUUAAGACCAUGAAUGGAAAGAAACUAGCGUCCAAGGUUACAUUUUUAUGACUCAAGAGGCUCCAAAACCUCUCAAAGGACAAAUCAAAUGGAUUAGAGUAACCCCUACUCAUAAUACCAAGCUUAGAGGACCAAAAGAACAUAAAAUCAAGCACAAAACAAGAUCUAAGUGAUGGGUUUUGAGCAUUCUAACACUUCCUAAGUGUACAUGCAACCCUAAUAAACCUUGGAUCUAUGUUUGUCUAAAAUACAUGCAAAAUAUGAUUUCCAAGGUUCAUAAUCCUAUCUAGCAUGCAUGGGGAACUUUAUCCUAAAAGGAUGGCUAGAAUUACAUACCUUGUAGUUGAUUUGAUUCCUUGAAAACCUUGAGAUCCUAGCACCCCAAGUAUGAUGCCUCAAAUGCUUCACACAACACCAAGUGCCUUUGGAAUGACUUGUGAGAGAAUGCAAACAUUCUAAAAAUUGGCCUACCCUCUCUUGUCCUUGUGUAACCGAUUUUGGUGGAGAAGGUGUUACUUAUAUAGUGUGACACAUCUAGGGUUACACCAUGUAAACCCUAAUGUGUCAUGACUCUUCAUUUCCAUGACCCAUGGGUUUGUAACUCCCAUGGAGCAUCUUAUGGGUUUAACCCAACUUGAUAAUCCAUGGAUCCUUUUAGCCCACUAUACAAGUUAUGGAAGAUUUACAUAAUCAACCCGUAUAUUUAAUUAGUUAUCUUUUGAUCACUUAACUAAUUCCAAAUUAAUUCUUGAUCAAAACUAAUUAAAUAAUACUAUUAAUAUAUUAGAACUUAUAACAUAUUAAUAAACCACAAGUGUUAUUUCUCUCAUUAAGUCUAUCCAAAUGCAUGAUUCCAUGUAACCCAAAUGCACCAUGCCGGGUUGGGUCAAGUACAUACCAGAAAUAGUUAUGGACUUAGACACCUUAUCCAACAGUCUCCCACUUGGAUAAGUCUAAUAACUAUAACUGCAAUACUUCAGGAACCGAUCGACAAUCGUAGCUCUUUCAAGGUCUCUCGGAACUGAGAAGAUAAUGAUACGCCAUUUAAGAUAAGUGAUCAUAUAAUCCUCUAUUCUAGAUAUCAGCUGGACAAAUACAUGGAACAAUGUCUUACUUAUUGUCCAGCAGUUUGUUUCCCGAUUUCCGAUUUGUUUGACAAAGAACUUAAUUGAACACAUCAACUUAGUUCUGACCGGGCCCGGUACAUAGGUCAAAACAAAAUCAUCGAGGGGCCCAGAUAUCAGCUUCUAAUCCAAGAAGGAACAGAUAAACUUCGACUCAUAUGUUUGUUCUACCACUCAUUGAAUUAUACACAAAAGCACGUUUUAUAACAUCGAGUUACCAAUGCGUUUUCGUACAAUCAAUGCAUAACCAACUCGUAAGUAACAAAUCAUAUCUCUAGGUUUGAAGACUUAUAUGAUAUUACCGUCUCACGAUCACUCGAGAAAAAUUCCAUGAAGUGAUUCCAGUGAGCGUGGGUUGAGUCCAAUGCUCAGAACUUAUGAGCACUCAUGAGUGUUGUAGCCAUUUCCAACACCUUAGACCUCUGCAACCAAUCAUGACAGUCUUGAUUCAUACCUACUUCCGACAUAUGACCGACUGUGGAGGUUCGAAUAAUAUGAUAUACCAAACAUAAUUAUUCUGGAAGUCAAAACAUGCAAAAGAAUUAUAGUAAACGAUUAACAAGAGAUAGCAACACUUUACUCAAAAAUAAACACAACUUUUAUUCAUCAUCAAAUGUCAAUUACACUUUAAAAUUUUAAAAAUUAUCUAACUAUUAAAACUAAUAUCAUCCUUCAGCCCUAUGCUCCAAGCAUGCUGGAGAUGCUUAACCCGAGUCAGUCCCUUCGUGAGGGGAUCUGCUGGGUUCUCAUCCGAUGAUACCCUCUUUUCCACGAGGAGUCGUUCUUCUAUUCAAUGUCUGAUGAAAUUGUAUUUUCUGUCGAUGUGUUUGGAUCUCCCGUGAUCCCUUGGUUCCUUGGCUAAGGCAACUGCACUUUCACUAUCAUAGAAAAUUUCCAUUGGCUCCUUAAUAGCUGGUAAAACUCCAAGGUCUCCAAUGAAGUUCUUCAGACAUAUCGCCUCCUUUGCUGCCUCGCUUGCCGCUAUAUACUCUGAUUCGCAAGUUAAAUCAGCCACUGUUUCUUGCUUGGAACGCUUCCAAGAAAUUGCUCCCAUGUUUAAGGUAAAGACCCAUCCUAACUAAGAGCGGAAAUUAUCCCUAUCAGUCUGAAAGCUAGCAUCACUAUACCCUACAACUCUCAAGUCAUCACUCCCACCGAGGGUAAGGACCCAGUCCUUAGUCCUCCGUAGGUACUUGAGGAUAUUCUUUACCGCAGUCCAGUGUGCCUUGCCAGGGUUCCCCUAAUACCUGCUAACCAUGCUUAAAGAAAAGGCUACAUCAAGUAGAGUACACAUCAUAGCAUACAUGAUCGAUCCUACAUCCGAAGCAUAAGGUACUCGACUCAUUUCUACUAUCUCAGCCUCAGUACUCGGGCUUUGUGUCUUACUCAGUCUGGCGUUACUCUGGAUGGGUAACUCUCCUUUCUUGGAGUCCUGCAUGAUGAACCUCUUCAGCACCUUAUCCAAGUAGGUGCUCUGACUAAGUCCAAUUAGUCUUUUACUCCGGUCUUUCAAGAUCCUUAUCCUUAGAAUAUAGGUAGCUUCUCCUAGGUCCUUCAUAGAGAAGCACUUCCCAAGCCAGGACUUAACUUCCUAUAGAGUUGGGCUGUCAUUUCCUAUGAGUAGUAUGUCAUCCACAUACAAUACCAAAAAACUAACUAUACUCCCACUAGCCUUGACAUAUACACAAGAUUCAUCUUCACUCCUAGAAAAUCUAAACUCUUUGACUUUCUCAUCAAAGCAAAGAUUCCAUCUGCGAGGUGCUUGUUUUAUUCAAUAAAUGGAUUUCUCAAGCUUACACACUCUAUUAGGGGUACUUUGUAUUGACAAAACCCUCUAGCUAACUCAUGUAAACAUCCUCAACCAACUUUCCAUUAAGAGAAGCGGUUUUGACAUCCAUUUGCCAUAUUUCAUAGUCAUGAAAUGCAGCUAUGGCUAACAUAACCCUAAUAGACUUAAUCUUGGCUACUAGAGAAAAGGUCUCAUCCUAAUCAACUCUCGGAGUUUGAGAGAAGCUUUUUGUAACCAGUCGUGCCUUAUAAGUGUUUACAUUUCCAUCCAUGUCGGUCUUCUUCAUGAUGAUCCACUUGCACCCAACUGUCUUACGACCCGGUACAUUGUCAACCAAGUUCCAAACUUGAUUGUCAUACAUGGACUGUAUCUCGCUGUCCAUUGCCUCUUUCCAUUUGGCUGACUCAGGGCCUGCUAUGGCUUCCGCGUAGCUGUUAGGUUCAUCCAGACCUAUCAGUGUCUCAUCAUUGAUAAGUGUAUCACCUUCCAUAGUAAUAUGGAAUCCAUAGUAAUGCUCAUGUGCAUUCCUAACCCUUGUGGAAUGCCUCAGAGGUCCAGACUUGUCAAUUGGCUCAACAAGAGUUUUCUCCUUAAGUUGAGUGCUAGGGUUUGAUGUUCCUUCACCACUUGACUCUUGAAUUUCUUCAAGGUCAACUUGCCUCCCACUGUUUCCUUGGCUUAUGAACUCUCUCUCUCUCUCUCUCUCUCUCUCUCUCUCUAAAGACAGCCCUCCUAGCUACAAAGACCACAUUUUCACUAGGUCUGUAGAAGAGGUAACCAAAGGAUUUCUGUGGGUAUCCGAUGAAAAUACACCUCUCACUUCGCGUUUUGAGCUUAUCAUGAGUCUCGCAUCUCACCAAUGACUCGCAACCCCAAAUCUUAAUGUGGUCUAGUUUGGGUACUUUACCAGUCCACAUCUCAUGAGGAGUUUUGGCAACUUUCUUUGUAGGGACCAGAUUAAGGAUAUGGGUGGCAAUCUCUAAGGCAUACCCCCAAAAUGAGAUUGGUAGCGAAGCUCGACUCAUCAUGGAACAAACCAUAUCCAUCAAGGUUCGAUUACGCCUCUCAGCCACACCAUUCAACUGCGGUGUCCUGGCAGGUGUCAAUUGUGAGACAAUCCCACAUUCCCUAAGAUAGUCGAGGAACUCUGAACUAAGAUACUCACCACCUCGAUCGGAUCGAAGCAUCUUAAUGUUCCUGCCCAAUUGAUUCUCGACUUCCUGUUUAAAUUCUUUAAACCUUUCAAAAGUCUCUGACUUAUGCUUGAUUAAGUAGACAUAUCCAUAUCUACUGUAAUCAUCAGUAAAAGUCAAAUAAUAACGAUUAGCAUCCCUUGUGGCAUGUUUGAAGGGUCCACACACAUCCGUGUGUACAAGGUCCAACAAACCUUCACCCCUCUCACAAGAACCUGUGAAGGGUGACUUUGUCAUUUUUCCAAGUAAGCAUGAUUCGCAACUAUCAUCUGACUUUAGGUCAAAUGACUCCAAGACUCCAUCCUUUUGGAGUUGGCCUAUGCGUUUCUUGCUUAUAUGUCCAAGACGACAAUGCCAUAAUGAUGCUUUAUCCAAGUUAUUAUCAUUAACAGAAUCAAUACACAAUACAUUAUUUCCUAAGUUAUCAACCACAGAUACAGUUUCAUACACACCAUCACAAGGUAAUGCUUUAAAAUAAAGAACAUUAUUAAAGAAAGCAUUAAUCGAACCAACUUCAUUAUCAAAUGAAAAGGUGAAACCUUGUUUAUAAAAUGCAUGAAAGGAAAUAAUAUUCCUUGCCAUUUCUGGUGAGUAACAACAUUUAUUCAAAUCUAAACUAAAUCCACUACUCAACGAUAAAUUAUAAACUCCAAUCUUGGUGACAGGUAAAGCUUUCCUAUUCCCCAUGAUUAAGUUUAUUCUUCCAUGCUCCACAUUCUCACUUCUACUUAGUCCCUGCAAAUCAGAACAAAUAUGAAUACCGCAACCGGUAUCAAGGACCCAAGAGUUAGAAUAGGGUGAGUUAUUAGAUAAGAUAGUGUAAAUACCUGCAUGGUUGGGUUUAACUUUCCCAUCCUUCACAUCUUGUUGGUACUUUGGGAAGUUCCGCUUCCAGUGCGACUUUUCAUGGCAAUAGAAGCAUUCAGCCUCUUUUGGGUCAGAAAAAGGAGUGACGAAACCUUUCUUGGUUCCACUUGAAGAAGAGCCAUCAAGGGUCCUAGCCUUGGAACCCUUCUAAGAGCACUUCCUCUUCUUCCCUCUACCUUUCCCGAUUGCCAAGACAGGGGCGGAGUUUGGAGUAGGAGUAGGAGUGUUAACAACCGACUUACCUUUAAGACCUGUUUCUGCGGUCUUGAGGAGUCCCCGAAGUUUGCUGAGUGUGACUUCUUCUUUAUUCAUGUGGUAUGUCAUGCGGAAUUGAUCAUAGCACGAGGGUAAGGAGUGCAAAAUUAUAUCUAUUGCAGGCUCCUCAUGGAAGUUCACAUUAAGCUUCAGCAAACGAUCCACAUACCUUUGCAUUUUCUGCAUGUGGCUCAUGACGGAGUCUCCAUCCUUCAUCAUGGUUGUUAUCAUGGAGCAGAUGAUUUCAUACCUCUCUUUUCAUGCAUUUUGUUGGUAUCUUUCCAUCAGAUCUUGGUGCAUUUCAAAAGGGUAGAAGUCCUCAUAGGACUUUUGGAGUUUUUCUAUCAUGGUGGCUAACAUGAUGCAUGCCACUUUGGUAGCAUCCCUUUCAUGUGCCCGGAAGUCAGCGAUCUCCCGGGGAGUUGCAAUGGUCUCAUAAAUCUCCUUAAUCUCCUUAUUGAGGACAUAUUCUUUGUCCUCGUAGAGGGUAAUCAUCCUGAUGUUUCUAAUCCAUUCAUUGAAGUUGGAUCCAUCAAAAGUGACUUUCCCACACAAGUUUAUAAGGGUAAAGGAGCCAUUAGGAUUAGAACCAGAAGUAGCAUUGUUUGAAGACAUCUGAAAGAAGAGGACAAGAUUAGUUUAGAUAUUAAGAGAGUCCUUAAUAAAACACCCAAAUGUAAUAUUAAGGCUAGGAUCCAAUCACAAUAUAUUAUAACUUAGAAGAGGUAUGUCGUAAUCCAAGCUAUAACAUAUUUGAAAGGUAGGUGAAUGACGAUUCACCAAUUUCCACCAUGAAAAAAGAAAUAUUAAAUAUUAGGUUUUUGAUUGGUUCUUAGAAAUUCCUAGAUUCUUUNNNNNNNNNNNNNNNNNNNNNNNNNNNNNNNNNNNNNNNNNNNNNNNNNNNNNNNNNNNNNNNNNNNNNNNNNNNNNNNNNNNNNNNNNNNNNNNNNNNNNNNNNNNNNNNNNNNNNNNNNNNNNNNNNNNNNNNNNNNNNNNNNNNNNNNNNNNNNNNNNNNNNNNNNNNNNNNNNNNNNNNNNNNNNNNNNNNNNNNNNNNNNNNNNNNNNNNNNNNNNNNNNNNNNNNNNNNNNNNNNNNNNNNNNNNNNNNNNNNNNNNNNNNNNNNNNNNNNNNNNNNNNNNNNNNNNNNNNNNNNNNNNNNNNNNNNNNNNNNNNNNNNNNNNNNNNNNNNNNNNNNNNNNNNNNNNNNNNNNNNNNNNNNNNNNNNNNNNNNNNNNNNNNNNNNNNNNNNNNNNNNNNNNNNNNNNNNNNNNNNNNNNNNNNNNNNNNNNNNNNNNNNNNNNNNNNNNNNNNNNNNNNNNNNNNNNNNNNNNNNNNNNNNNNNNNNNNNNNNNNNNNNNNNNNNNNNNNNNNNNNNNNNNNNNNNNNNAUAUAUAUAUAUAUAUAUAUAUAUAUAUAUAUUAUUAACUUGUAAUAUUAUAAAGUAUAAGGGUUGAUUUUUAACUUUUAAAAAUCUGAGGGUUGGAACUAAAGUUUAUUAAGUGACUUUACAUGUUCCAAAACUUGAGGGCAAGUUUUGUAACUUUGUAAACCUUUCACAUUCAUAACUUAUGAGUCAUUAAAUUGAAGACUCUUCAUUUUAUAACUUAUGUGUUCUUUUAAUGGAUUUUAACACAAAGAGACUUUUGGUUAUCCAUAACUUGAGGACAAGUUAUGGACUCCACUAAAACACAUAAAGAUCAUGAAUUAAUCAUAUAAACAAGUAACUCCUAUGAUCUAUCAAGAACUCAUAAGAACAUGAACAUUCAUAUCAAAAUUUCAAGAACAUAUGAACACAUAUAAUCAUGAAAAAUUGAUAUUUUUCAUUGUAAGUGGAUUAGAACAACCAUUACACCAUCUAAAACAAGUUUUAUAACACCAAAAUAGUUUAGGGUAAUGUUUCUAGUCCAUUUCUAGCAGCACAAAUCAAAUUUCUGCAUUCUGCAUGGCCAACUCAUCGAGUGCCCGAACUGACUCGCCGAGUUGGUUGCAUUUUCACUUGGACUCGUCGGGUCCUCCCCAUGGAUUCGUCAAGUCCCCUGUGCAGACAGCAAAAAAUCGAUUUUCAACACAAUUUGGCAUCAAGUAUUCACAAACAAGCCUAGGCUCUGAUACCACUGAUGGGUUUUGAGCAUUCUAACACUUCCUAAGUGUACAUGCAACCCUAAUAAACCUUGGAUCUAUGUUUGUCUAAAAUACAUGCAAAAUAUGAUUUCCAAGGUUGAUAAUCCUAUCUAGCAUACAUGGGGAACUUUAUCGUAAAAGGAUGGCUAGAAUUACAUACCUUGUAGUUGAUUUGAUUCCUAGAAAACCUUAGGAGCCUAGCACCCCAAGUGUGAUGCCUCAAAUGCUUCACACAACACCAAGUGCCUUUGGAAUGACUUGUGAGAGAAUGCAAACAUUCUAAAAAUUGGCCUAGCCCUCUCUUGUCCUUGUGUAACCGAUUUUGGUGGAGAAGGUGUUACUUAUAUAGUGUGACACAUCUAGGGUUACACCAUGUAAACCCUAAUGUGUCAUGAAUCUUCAUUUCCAUGACCCAUGGCUUUGUAACUCCCAUGGAGCAUCCUAUGGGUUUAACCAAACUUGAUAAUCCAUGGAGCCUUUUAGCCCACUAUACAAGUUAUGGAUGAUUUACAUAAUCAACCCAUAUAUUUAAUUAGUUAUCUUUUGAUCACUUAAUUCAUUCCAAAUUAAUUCUUGAUCAAAAUUAAUUAAAUAAUACUAUUAAUAUAUUAGAACUUAUAACAUAUUAAUAAACCACAAGUGUUAUUUCUCUCAUUGAGUCUAUCCAAAUGCAUGAUUUCAUAUAACCCAAAUGCACCAUGUCGGAUCGGGUCAAGUACAUACAAGAAAUAGUUAUGGACUUAGACACCUUAUCCAACAGUCUCCCACUCGGAUAAGUCUAAUAACUAUAACUACAAGUAUGACUUCAGGAACUGAUCAGCAAUCGUAGCUCUUUCAAGGUCUCUCGGAACUGAGAAGAUGAUGAUAUGCCAUUUAAUAUAACUGAUCAUAUAAUCCUUUGUUUCAAAUAUCAGCUGAAAAAAUACAUGGAACAAUGUCUUACUUAUUGUCCAGCAGUUUGUUUCCCGAUUUCCGAUUUGUUUGACAAAGAACUCAAUUAAACACAUCAACUUAGUUCUGAUCGGGCCCGGUACAUAGGUCAAAACACAAUCAUCGAGGGGCCCAGAUAUCAGCUUGUAAUCCAAGAAGUAACAGAUAAACUUCCACUCAUAUGCUUUCUCUACUACUUGUUGAAUUAUACACAAGAGCACGUUUUAUAACAUCGAGUUACCAAUGCGUUUUCGUACAAUCAAUGCAUAACCAACUCAUGGCAACAAAUCAUAUCUCUAGGUUUGAAGACUUAUAUGAUGUUACCGUCUCACGAUCACUUGAGAUAAAUUCCAUGAAUUGAUACAAGUGAGUGUGGGUUAAGUCCAAUGCUCAAAACUUAUGAGCACUCAUGAGUGUUGUAGCCAUGUCCAACAACUUAGACCUCUGCAACCACUCAUGACAGUCUUGAUUCAUACCUACUUCCAACAUAUGACUAACUGUGGAGGUUCGAAUAAUAUGAUAUACCAAACAUAAUUAUUCUGGAAAUCAAAACAUGCAAAAGAAAUAUAGUAAACGAUUGACAAGAGAUAGCAACACUUUACUCAUAAAUAAACACAACUUUUAUUCAUCAUCAAAUGUCAAUUACACUUUACAAAUUUCAAAAUUAUCUACCUACUAAAACUAAUAUCAUCCUUUAGCCCUAUGCUCCAAACAUGCUAGAAAUGCUUAACCCGAGUCAGUCCCUUCGUGAGGGGAUCUGCUGGGUUCUCAUCCGAUGAUACCAUCUUUGCCAUGAGGAGUCCUUCUUCUAUUCAAUGUCUGAUGAAAUGCUAUUUUCUGUCGAUGUGUCUUGAUUUCCCGUGAUCCCUUGGUUCCUUGGCUAAGGCAACUGCACUUUCACUAUCACAUAUAAUUUCCAUUGCCCCCUUAAUAGUUGGUACAACUCCAAGGUCUCCAAUGAAGUUCUUCAGCCAUAUCUCCUCCUUUGCCGCCUCGCUUGCUGCUAUAUACUCUGCCUUCUUGGAUGGGUUUGGGUACCGUAUGUUGGUGGGGUUCGAUUGGUUUUGAUGGAUGAGGCCCAUAAGUCAAGAUUCUCCUAUUCAUCUGGGGGCUACAAAAAUGUAUCAUGACCUGAAACAUAGCUAUUGGUAGCCGUGUAUGAAGAGGGAUGUGGCGUGGUUCGUGGAGCCGUGCUUGACCUGCCAGAAGGUCAAGGGCGAACACAAGUGCCAUGACGGAAAAUUAGAGUCCUUGGAAGUCCCACUGUGGAAGUGGGAGAAGAUCAUGAUGGAUUUUAUUACAAAAUUACCGAAGAUUGCGAAGGGUUGUGAUGCGAUUUCGGCGAUAGUCGUUCGUUUGACGAAGAGUGCUCACUUUGUAGCCAUAAGUGAGAGCUCUUCUACGGAGACGUUGUCCAAGAUUUAUGUCUAGAGGUAGUGUCGCCAUGGGGUGGCAAAUUCUAUUUUGUCAGAUCGAGAUGUUCAUUUUACUUCCCAAUUUGGAAGAGGUUUCACGAGGAAUUAGGCACUCGAUUGCAUUUCAGUACCGCCUCUUCCACAAACAUAUGAGCAGAGUGAGAUGACUAUUUAGACGCUUGAGGAUACGUUACCAGCCUGCAUCAUUGAUUUUGGUGGGAUUUGGGACUCCUACCAUCUUUUGGCUGAGUUUUCUUACAACAACAACCAACAUUCCAACAUUGGCAUGCCUCCAUUUGAGCUCUAAUAUGAUAGGAAGUGUCGGACUCCUUUUUGCUGGGGCGAGGUCGGACAUAGAGUCAUGGGGACCACUGAGAUAGUGCUCAAGAGUUACGUGGAUCGACGAUGCUUUGAGUUGGACUUUCAGGUUGGAGAUUUGGUGCCCCUAGGUUUAUUGGCCCUUUCAGAGUGAUAGCCCGAGUAGGCAAUGUGGCAUACUGGUUAGAGCUGCCAGAGGAGUUGGACCAGAUUCAUGACACUUUCCAUGUUUCUCAGAUGAGGAGGUAUCUAGUCGUUGAGAGAGUGGUGGUUCCUUCAGAGGACAUUCAAGUUGAUGGUCGCUUGAAUUACGUCGAGAGGCCGAUGGUGAUUCUGGAUAGGAGGGUGAAGACCCUAAGGAACAAAGUAGUGAACUUGGUCAAAGUUCAAAGGCAGCAUCAGAAAGGCUAUAAGUGGACUUGGGAGCCUAAGGAUGAGAUACGUGAGCAUUACCCUGAUAUGUCCGUAGAGAAUGACUUCGAGGAUUAACUCUGAUUCUAGUGAGGGAGAAUUGUAAUACCCAUUAUUAGGUAUUUUUCUUUCCAGUCCGUUUUGUUUUAAAUUUUUUGCAAAAGAGGUCCUUACGCUAGGCAUACAAGGCUAUACAUCAGGUGUAAGUCGGCAGACCUGUGGCGUGUCAAAAAUAGAGUACUCUAGGCGUACAUGUGAGUACAUUGGGCGUACUCAUGCAUUCCCUAAACCUUAAUCUUUUGGGUUGUGACCCCUAUUUAAGCAUCAUAAACCCAAUUGGACAUUCUUGUUACCAGCCUCCAUUUCCUCCAAACCUAAAAAUCAAAACCUUAGCCUUUUUGAGUGAGAUUUAUAGCUUGAGUGUGAUCCUUAAGUGUUCAAGAUAGAGAAGUAAGAUCAUUCAAUAGUGGUGGUGCAUUCAAGUCUUUGGAACGAAAAUCUACAUCUCAUUGUUCAUCUUUUGAAGGUAUAAAGUUCAAACCUUGGAGCUUAUUUUGAUAUACCAUGUUUAGACUUAGAUUUGAGUUCAUUUUGUCCCAAACCUUGAUCCUUUUCAGUAUGGAAUACUCCAGAGCUUAUGAACUGUCCUUUCAAACAUUUUAGGGUGUUUAGAAUCAUAAAAAUGUUAGCUUGGUCCUUUCCUUUUUCCCAUGCAUGAGUUAUAGAGAUUUUAGGAAAAUGAAAUGUUAUGCUUUUGGGAUUUAGCUCUUUGUAAACAUGCAAAGGCUUAAAUUUAGAGACUUAUUGGAUUAAAAAGUAAUUUUAGGGUAUGAUCUAAAGUUGGUAUAAGGGUCUUAAUGAUUAAGAACACAAAAAUGAAGUUUUGGGGAUCAGUUGCAUACGUCGAGCGAACUUUUGGCUAUACCCAACGUAGCCAGUUGCGAGCCCGCUCUUUCUUUCCAACCAAUGCUUUACACCCAUUGUAGAUCAGUGUACACAACGCGUACAACCACCUGUUGACUUUCUUUGACUUUGGGCUAAUUGUGUCUUUAAGGGAUCUAGUGAGGGUUUUGGUCUUGGAAAGCGCAAAAUGGUAUUCUACCAUAAAUAUGUAUUAUAAUGGGCUUGGGAUUAUUAGAGUGUGGAAAAUUACCUUAAUUAUAAAUUAAGGUUAAUUGGUGUAAUUAUUAGGCAGAAUCUAGUUCCGACAAUUCGGGUGUGAGUUCUAUCAAUCAUCUGUGAGAGGUGAGUCUCCUCACUUAUUCUUACAUGUGUGGUAGAAAAGAUUUGUAUAUGUGAUGAACAGUUGGGUCAAUGUGCUAUUACUUUGAUAUGUGUUACUUUGCGUGUUCUAAGACAUCAGGUAGUCUCGAGGUAUGCUGAUAACCCACAGGGCGUGCUGUUUGCCCACUGAGACUUCAAGUAGUCUCAAGGUUUGCUGAUAAACCAUAGUUUUUUAUUUAGUGUUGUAUUUUAUGUGCUAUUUUGUGGAACUCACUAAGCUUCAUGCUUAAAAUUGUUGACUAAAUGUGUUUCAUGUACUUCUGAGGAUCACAGGAAAGCGAAGGCUUGGUUGUAUACAUCCACCUGUAGUUUAUUAUACUCUAUAUUUUUGGACACUCUGAUAUUUUGAUGAUGAUUUGUUUUUGACACUGUGAUUUUCUUGAAAUUGUUUUAUGAACAAUAUUUUUAAAUGAAUUUAAAAAUGAAACUUUUGGUUUGAAAAUUUGUAUGUUACAUUUCACUUAACACGUACGUGAGGAUUUCUAAAUAUCUUCACAGUGAAGAUCUACCAUGUGAAGUGGCCUCUUUUAUAAUAUAUAUAUAUAUAUAUAUAUAUAUAUAUAUAUAGGUAACAGAUCAAAUGAGAACUGAUGUAACCCAAAAAAUCGUCAUGAGUCUCAUCGAGUCGAUAUCUCAGAUAUCUGCUUCGAUGCCACUAGCAAGCUCCAAUGUGAUUCAUGUUAGACUCAUAAAUAAGAACAAUUAGAGUUUGCCCAUGACUUGAGUCCUGGGAGUGGCCUCCAAUGAUUAGUUUAGUAUCGAUAGUAAAUAUAGUUCAGAUCCUUUGAGCAGAAGGAAUCUCAGUGUAUGUAUGUGCGGUGUGUUUAUAGAGAGGUUUGUACCUAAGGUGACUUGAGGACUUAUUGUCUUGGGAAGGAGCAAAUCAUACUACCAAAUAUUGGACCAUGUUGGCCUAAGACCAAAGACCGAGCCAUUUUUAGCCGAACCAUUUUGGCCAAAUCAUCGACUCAUGUUGGCAGGACCAUAUUUUGUUGAACCACGUCAGAAGAACCAUAUUUAUCUCAAACAUGUUGCCCGAACCCGGAAAGAGGGCCCAAUGAGGUGUAUAUAUAUAUAUAUAUGAGAAGCAUAAAAUGUUAGGAAACAUAAGAACCUCUCUUUUUACCUUAUAAAUAAUGGUAUGUUUAUCAUUUCUUAAAUGUAUGUUAAUAAAGCCUACAAAUGAUAUUUUUGUCAACUAUAUGUUUAGGUUAUUUCAUCAGACAUAAAAUGAUCACUAUUCUGUCACAAUAUUUUUUUUUCUCUCAUUUUAUCUCAUCUCUUUCUGUAUUAUCUCUUAUCAUUUCCGACCAGCACCAUCGACGACACCAUUGUCGUCGCCAAUGUACAACAAUAUUCAAAUCUAGAACUUCCACCUGCAGAUCUAGAACAUUUGCCUCUAGAUCUAGAACUCCCGCCUUCAAAUCUACCAUCACCAUCGAGGCGCCGCCUCUUGACAUCAUUUUCUAUCUCACCAACAUGAACCUUCUCUUGCCAUCAACCAUUUUUCUUUAAUGGAACACCUAGAAAACACCAUACUCUACUUCGAAGUCUGCAUAUAUUUCUUCUUCGGUUCUUCGACGUUAAGAUCUGACGAAGCACGUGAAAACCUCUUAGAUCUGCUUCACCAGAAUAACAGAUCUGAUGGACCAUGAAGCUCUUUAUCGCCUAAAGAUGUUUAACUACCUCUAGGUGUACUUCUUUUUUCAUACGACUUCCUCUACAAUCUUCGGCGAUCUAUCUACAAUCUACUACGACAAAUCAACAAUUUUCUUGUCUAUAUCUACCAUUUACGGCUCUGGAUCAACGAGUACUUAUGAGAUUGAUGACUAGAACUAAGACAACCAUCAACCACCACCAUCGAUGUUGCCUCACCGCUCUGGUGAAAAUCCACAAACUUGCCUCCAUGUUUUUCUCACUGAUAUCCGAUGAAACACCACUAGAUAUGUGUAUCAGGUAUGUGGAUUUUUUUUAUUGUUUUUCUUUGUGAAGCUGCGAUUUUAAUGUUUUAAUCUCUCAUUUUUAUGUUUUCUUUUGUUAAUCUUUGUUUUAAUUGCUAUUAAGUUGUGAAUCUAAGUUUGUUUUCAUCUUUGCAUAUAACUGUUGUUCAUAGCUCAGGUUUAUUGGCUGUGAUGUUGUGAAUUGAAUUUAGAAUGUGUGUUAUUAUGUUAAAGUUUUCUCAUAAUAAUGUGAAUCUAGGUAUUUUAAGUUGUGAAUUGUGAUGUUUUAAUAUUUCACUAAUUAUUUAGUUAUGUUAAUGUUGGUUUUAAACUGUGAUAGUUGCCUUUUAAACUAUGAAUUGAUUGCAUUAAGUUGUGAAUUUUGUCACAUCCCCAAAUUCACGGCCAUUUUAAAAAAUUUGUUUAUGCUUAUUUUAAAAAUCAGAGUACCAUUUUAAAAAGUAGUGUUGCGGAAUUUGUUCCCAGAAAAACAUGAUAAUAAUAUUAUCAAAGAAUUUCCGAAGAAAUGUAUUUAGUUUAUAUUAAAACUUUCGGAUGUCAUUGUCAAUAUAGAAACAUAAGCAUAAACAGACCUUAUAUUCAUUUACACUAAUGAUCUACAUCUCCUUAAUCUCUCAGUGUAAUGUAGCUUUGUAUCGACACCUACGAUACAAAUAAAUUGAGUGGGUCUGCUUGGGAAACCUGGUGAGUACAUAGGGUUUUCAACCCACAAUAAUAAAGUUAUUAUGUUUCAUCAUCAAACAAUCAACCCAAUUACCCAUCCCCAUUAUCUCUUUAUUCUUAAGUAUCUUCCCUAAGAAUCAUCUAUUCCUCAAUAUUUAUUCUUAAGGAUUAUCCUAAGGAAUAGGCACGAAGUCCAUCACUGCUAGGGUUUAUAUAACAGUCACUAAGUCCAUAGCUGCCAAUGUUAUUUGUUAGGCACUAAGUCCAUAGCUUCCAGGGUUUAUCUCUUUUAUUGACAAUAUUAUUUUAGGGAGUCCACCCACAAUACAUGUCAAUGGGUUUUUAGAGUACAUCUGAUGACCAUAUCGUUCACAACACCUACAGGUCGCGAGCCUGCUAGUAUUCCGCUGGACUGUCUAGAAUAGUCCGUUGUUGUCAUACUUUGUUAGAUGACUGGGCAACCGCUUGGGUCAAGGCUUCUCAUUAUCUUUCACCUCUCGUCAUCUAUAUCAUCUUUCAUCUCCCAUCAUUCAUCUCUCAUCUCAUCUCAUUUUUAAUCUACCCAUCUUUACCCAUCAUAAUUAUAUGUAUAAAAUAUGUAUACAUUUUAAAACGUAUAAAACAUUUAUAUUUUGUUCAUCCAGCAUAGAUAUCACUCACUUAUUAAAGUGAUGACUCGAAAUUUGGAUAGUGUUUCGUUUCUAACUAUCAUCUUUUCCUUUGACGAAACCUUGUAUUAUUGCCACUAGAUUUUUUCUAAUAUUUAUUGCGACUAAUCAUUACUCUAGACUUACGAGCGAUAUUUGUUGGGGUUUAUAAAUGGCAUCGACCAAGUCCACGCACGAUGGCCUGGAGUGCCACAAUCAAAUGCCUGGUCAUGGAUGGUUGAAUGUGCUAUAUGGGUAAGGUUGCACCUUUCUAACACCAAUUGGUUUUAGAUCAACCAGUAGCGUUGAUGCUCAACAAGUGGUAUCAGAGCCAAUGGUGUGGGUUCAAUUUUAUCAGGGAGCAAUUUCUGAGAGGUGGGGAUUUUUGGGGGACAGAAAUGGGAUCGACCAAGUCCUCUCACGAUGACCUGGAGUGCCGAAAUCGAAUGUCUGGUCCUGGACGGCUGAAUGCGCUAUAUGGGUAAGGUUGCGCCCUUUCUAAAACCAAUUGGUUUUAGAUCAACAAGUAGCGCUGAUGCCCAAGAAUAUUGUUUUAUAAGUGUUAAGGAAUACCUUUCAACUACUAUGUACAGACAGGGGCCAGACAUGAAACACCAGAGGGCAUGACCAUUUUUGCAUUUAAGCUGUUCAGAAAUCCAACAACCCUAUGCAGACCUUCAAACCAGAUUCCCCGUACCGCGAGCAGUUAAAAUUUAUUAUAAUAACACUUUUUAUAAUUUAUACUUAACACAUAUAUUGCUUAUAGGUUCAUAAGAACGAUAAUGAACUUAAACAUAAGUUAUACUUAAAGAAGGGUAACCAUAACUCACUUACAAGGGGGUUUGGCUAGGAACCGAGGUCUGCGGCGGCAAAACUUCUAAGCCAAAACUCUUCUUCUCGGAGCCUUCUGGCGCUCCGGGACUCACCUCUAACACUUAAGAAGUGCUAAGGAAGGGGAAUGAUAGGUUUGGAGUAUUGUGAGAGAAAGAAGGGUUGAGAUAUGAAGAAAAUGGAUGAUUUACACCUCUAUUUAUAAGCUGCAUGGGGGCGAUUCACGUCGUGAACUUGCGUAAGCAGCAAGGCUUUGCUUGGUGCUGACACGUGGCGCCAGACGCAUGUAAAACAAACAAUUUUACGUUCUUUAUAUCCACGUGUAGGUAUUGACAAGAUAUACAACUUUCCUUUUGACCCCAUUGGCUAAUUCUUGAUCGAUUUUAAAAUUAAUAGCAUGAGAAGAUUACACAUGCGGACUUCGUUUUCGACUGUAUUUUUAUCAUUUAACUCCUUUUAGUGAGAUAUUCAAUUCUAAUUUAGAUCAUUUUGGCUAAAUAUUGACAGAUCUAAAAUUCGAUUUCUGAGUAGUAUAUUGUUAUGUCAAAUCUUAGAAAAAUCAUCACUUCCUCAUAAGAAGUCAGAUUUGGAUGUUCUUUUUAUGUACGUUCUCAGUUUAACAUAGAAUAAGACUUUCUUUUAGAUUUCUAAGGCUAAAAAUUAAUUUAUCAAAAAUUCAUUUUUUAUGUAACGCGGUGCCAUGGCGGUUUAGCUGUAAAACUUCGACCUGUCAUAACUUAUUCUUUAUAACUCGGAUUUCAACGUUCUUUAUAUGUACAAAACCCUUAUGACAUAUACUAUAACUUAGUUAAGAUUAUUUAUUCUAAAUAAUCUUCUAUCAAAAAGUUGUUUUUGACACUCAUUGUCUUUAAAUUGACUAGCCCGAAUCUGCGGGCGUUAUAAUUAUCUCCCCCUUAGGAUGUUUACGUCCCGGAAUCAUCAAUAAAUUAGGGCUUUAUAUAAUUAAUUCGUACGUUAUCUCUUCAUCCUAGUAAAUAACCAUAACUUCUAUUUUCCUUCAAAUGAUUAUCUAACUCUUGGACUUCUUGACUGCAGGCGGUGCUCAAUCUUGCACCCGCUCUUUAUCCUAUGCUGGAAUUUCAAUCGUAACCUUCGAGUUACAAAAUCGAUCCUUAUUGGUGACUCCUACUUCUUAUUAAACAUAAUUAACUUAAGACAAGUUCUUUACUUUAAUUAUCAUGACAGACCGAUGGGUCAUGUUCUAAUUACCUCAUGUCGUAUGAUGCAACACUUAGACUUAGGUCUUUUAGAGUCAAAUUCCAGAAUGGAAUAUACCUUCCUUCAUGUUCUAAUUUGAUAUAAUUACAUUCUAGCAUGUAGCAUUUCUAGCUACAUUAUAGAAUGGUAGUAGAGGCCUUCUUACCUUAACAAUGGUUGCGAUGCUUCUAUCAAUUACUUCGACUAUAUUUCACUUCAAUUGUCUGGCUUAAGUCAGAUGCUACAUCAAUCUUGGUUCUCUAAACCACGUAGAAUACAUAUCUUAGUCAGACUCGAUAUGAUAUGACCACUAGGGUCAGAAUAAUAAUUAUCAUCUGCUUAGUCAUUAUCGAAACGAUGGUAACGAUAGAAAUGAAGAAAACAUAAUCAAUUACUAGCGCCUUUGUAACCUUGUGACUUUCCCUGAUCCAAGUGCGAGUCAUGUGCUUCUGGUAGUAUAUGCCUCUACUACCUUUCACACAUACUCCUAGUCGUCCCAAGUAUUGUAUCGCAGUCUCCAAGUUCUUAUUUCUUAAAAUCACAAAACGAUUUAACACAUACGAAUGUGUGUAAAUAAUCACAUUUUUUUUCUAGAAUCUACUAGGACUUCUUCCAUGCAUAUCUUCAACAACAAUUCUACAUCAACUCGGUUGGUGAUGGAAACACCAAACGAUAUGACAACUUUAGGAAUUACACCAAUCGUUCUAUCAUCCCGCUAAUCAAAUGUGUACAUUCGUAUGUACCGUACUCCAAUAGACAUAUUGUUAUUUUAUCAUAUGUAUUCUAAAUGCAAGAUACCAUUCUUACGAUAUCUUCUUAUAGGUAUCAUUUACUAUCGUAAGCCUUCUAAUUUCCUCUAUUUACUGAGUUCACUAUGAGUUUUCACCAUGACGUUAUGUUCACGGAAGCAUGUGUUUAGUGUAUCGGGACGAGAAUAUAGAUAUGGAAGGUUUAGACGUGUAAUCCUCCUUAUUACCCCGAAUAGUUACAUGCCAGUUCUAAUAUCGUAAUUAAACAAUUAGAAAUCUGAACACAUAAAAUUUUUAGAUCCGGUCAACCAUGGAUCCGAUCAAACGAUAGCAUCAUAGAGCAUAUAGGGCAUCUUAUAGCAUAAAUCAUUUUGCACAUAAAACCAAUUUAGGAAUCUUUCCUAAAAUAAUCUAGUGCUCGUGUCUAUGCAGGCAUACUUCCUAAAUAUAGCAGACACUCAUCUAAAAAUCAUUGCUUAACAUUCUAAGUUUAACUCUAGAAAUUUCCUAAAAUUCCUAGUUCGCUGAAACUACUGCUCUCAUACCAACUGUGACAUCCCCAAAUUCAUGGUCAUUUUAAAAAUUUUAUUUAUGCUUAUUUAAAAAUCAGAGUAUCCAUUUUAAAAAGUAGUAUUGUGGAAAUUGUUCCCAGAAAGACAUGAUAAUAAUAUUAUGUGUAAAUUGCACGAAUGGUCACUAUUGUCUGGGGUAAUUUGCACGUUUGAUCACUAAUUUAUUUUUCUAACUAAGAAGUUCCCUACAGUUUGUUUUUUUGUUACGUGUUUUGUCUAUGUCUUACCUAAAAAGACUAUUUUGCCCUUGAUUUUUUUAAUUUUGUUAAAUAAAGUGUGUUAGGUAAGGUGAGGUGGAAAUGGGGUUAGGUGUGUUUAUUUAAAUAAAUUAAAAAAUCAACGGUAAAAUAGUAUUUUUAGGUAAGACAGGGAUCAAGCACGCAACAAAAAUGUCACACCCCAAAACCAAGAACGGCGGAAACGUUCUGGGGCGGAGGACGUCAUGUAAAGUAUCACAACACAGUAAAUGAAAAUAGCAAACAACAUCAUCCAUUGCAUUAAAUAUAUAAUUUUAAUAGAAGCGUGUUCUGUACAGUUUUUAGACACCAAAAAUAUAAGGUAAAUCAAAAUAAUAAUAUGAUGAGUCUUGAAUGCGCUCCAUCAUCUCAAAAGCUAGCAUCGGUACCUGUCUACUGAUGACCUGAGAAUACAAAUUAUUUUGAAAGAGUUUAUCAGCAUUAAGCUGGUGAGUUCAUAAGUAUUUUAGUGUCGGUGUCUGUUAUCAAAAACGUUUGAACAUGUCUCAAGUAUAAGUUCGUGAAAUGUAUGUAAGUGUUUGUAAAAGUUUGAAUCUCUCAGAAAAACCUAUAUUUUCUAAUAAAGUAGCCUUCUACCAAGGCUUUAACAGUUUUGUAUGUUUGUUUGUUGUAAAAGGGUGUAAUUUCCCAAGUGCAACUAUCUUUUAACAAAAUAUAGUUUGUACAUUAAAGUUCAAGUGAGGUUAUCACUAAAAAUAUGUAAUGGGUAAAUCAUUGUAGUACUGUAGUUUAGUUUUAUAGUAACAACUGCUGUACUAACUACCUUAAACCGGAUUUAUAUUAAGGUAUAAUGUGAUAAUUGCUCCAUACUAUCGACUGAUAACAACGACAUAAAGAACGGUCGUAAUAACGGAAUGACGUUUGGCACCCGCAGACCUGCAGGUCCGGCUGUAGCUAGCAGCAAGGUGUAGGAUAGUCAAUCCAGUAUAGAUCUAUACGCAAACUCAACGCUCUCCCUCCAAGAGAAUUCUGGCUACAACUCGGGCCAUGACAUUUAAGGCAUGCUCCGAUACAGUGGAUCACAUUUGUUAUCGUAUUCUUGCAUAUGUGAUGAAAUGUUUCUCGUUCUAGUAUAGUUGUAUAUGUUCUCAUAGUAUAGUUGUAUAUAUUCUCUUCCUAGUAUAGACUCAUGAAUGAACUGACUCAUUGAUCUAGCAGUUGUAAUAGUAUGAUUCUGUGUUACCCCGAUGGUAACUUGUUAACGGUGUGUCUAGUACGUAUGAUUAUGGAAGUACUUUUAUGUCUAUAUAUGUAUAUUUGAUAUAUAAUUAAUAUGGAAACGACCUUCGGAUGGUCACCCAAAAUCCUAUCAGACCACAUCCAAAUCGAGGAAAAGGAAACAAGGUGGAUAGCCUUCCUAAGUCCUUUAAACAUUAUUUAUACGUCUAUACAUAUAUGGGCAUGCAAUUUAUAAUAUAAAAGCAUAAAUAAGUUUUUAUAAGACAUUUGAAACAUAAGUAUUAUUUUAAAGAAAGAUCGACUUGAUGUCGAUCUAUAAAACAAUUUGAAGGCAUAGGCUUGAUUAAAACAGUUUAAGUAUAAGGAACAUUUGUUUAAAUCACAGUUGUAAUAUAAAUUUUGAAAAGUAAAUGGGUUUGUAAAACAUUUCGAAGUAAAACAGUUUGAUAGACAGUUUGAACAGUGAUAAAUUCACUGGUUUCCCUAGUUAUUAAUCACAUGUGGUUAAUGCAAUCACAUGUGAUUGAAGCAAUAACUAUAAGUAUUUAACUUGCAUUCCCCCCCUUUUGAAAGCAUAUAAAAGCAUUUAGAAUAUUUAACAGGUUGAUUAAGGGGUAUGAAACUCACUUGAUUGAUUGAAGAAAGCGAGAUGGAAAACCGGGCAGAGUUUCGUCUCGGGAAACGGAUUUUUCUCGGGAUUCUCGGGAAUCUCGGGAGUAAAAUCGACCCUCGGGACUUGAGCAAAAAGACCAGAGCUUCGGGUUUGAACGGGCACGGAAAUCGAGGCAAGAUCGUGAAAGAAAGGAGAGAAAUGAGCAAAAUUUCUGGAAAGCCUCGCAUCCCUUUUAUAGGGGUGCUGAACUGCCUCGGUACGCAGGGCGUACGAGGGUACGCAGCGCGUACGAGACGUCAUCGCUUACGCACUUCGGAUGGGACGGCGGGUCGGACGGGCGGGUCGGAAGCUUCGCAUAGGGCGACAUGGACGAUCCGAGGCCCUUCAUCUGAGUACGCGGGGCGAACGAAGGUACGCAGGGCGUACUCCGGUCCUAUCCGAUGACUCCCCUUCGGAUAAUACCGGGAGUUUAUAAUUAAAUUUAUAUUUAUUUUAAAUAAACUUCUAAAAUUCAUAUCACCUUCAUACGAACUCCAUUUUUGACGUUCUUUAUAUUCACGCGAAGGUGAGACCAAGAUCUACAACUUUCGUUUAGACUCCGUUGGCAAAUUCCGAAAUUAUUUUUAUUAUUUAUUUAUUAAAAUGACGUGAUUAAGGAAUUUCUUCAAAAAUUCAUAACUUCCUCAUCCGAAGUCAGAUUUGGACGUUCUUUUUAUGUACAAAAACCUUGAUACGAUUCCUACUACUUUAUUUAACCCAAAUAAGUUUUUAGGAAAAUUAUAUUUUGACCUAGAUUUGAUUGGUUUUACAUUACAUUGUCUCGAAAUAUCGGGUUGUCACAAAAAACAAAUAGUAUGGACCUUCCAAGUUAAAAAAACAAGUUAGGGACCAAACGUGCAAAUUACCCCAAACCAUAGGGACUAUUUGUUUAAUUUACUCUAAUAUUAUCAAAGCAUUUCCGAAGAAACGUAUUUUGUUUAUAAUAAAACUUUGGGAUGUCAUUGUCAAUACCGAAACAUAAGCAAAAAACAGACCUUACAUUCAUUUACACUAAUGAUCUACAUCUCCUUUACUCUCUCAGUGUAAUGUAGCUUUGUAUCGACACCUGUAAUACAAAUAAGCUGAGUGGGUUAGGUUGGGAAACCUGGGGAGUUCAUAGGGUUUUCAACCCACAAUAAUAAAGUUAUUAUGUUUCAUCAUCAAACAAUUAAUCCAAGUACCAAUCCCCAUUAUCUUCUUUAUUCUUUAGUAUCUUUCCUAAGAAUCAUCUAUUCCUAAAUAUUUAUUCCUAUGGAUUUUCCAAAGGAAUAGGCACGAAAUCAUCGCUACCAGAGUUUAUAUAACAGGCACUAAAUCCAUAGUUGUCGAUGUUAUUUGUGAGGUACUAAGUCCAUAGCUUCUAAGGUUUAUCUCUUUUCUGAACAAUAUAAUUUUAGUGAGUCUACCCAUAAUAUAUUUCAAUGGGUUUUUAGAGUACAUCUGAUGAACAUAUCGUUCACAACGCCUACAGGUUGCGAGUCUGCUAGUGUUCUACUGGACUGUCUAGAAUAGUCUGUGGGUGUCAUCUAGACUUUGCUAGAUGAUUGGGCCAUCACUUGGGUCAAGGCUUCUCAUAAUCUUUCACCUUUCAUCAUCUAUAUCAUCUUUCAUCUCUCAUCAUUCAUCUCAUCUUUCCUCUCUCAUCUCAUCUCAUCUUUAAUCUACCCAUCUUUACCCAUCAUAAUUAUAGGUAUGAAAUACAUAUACAGUUUAAAUCAAAUAAAACAUGUAUAUUUUGUUCAUCCAGCAUAGAUAUCAAGAACAUAGAUAAUAUGCAUGCAUAACACGUAAUGUAUAUUAAAUACUUCAUAUUUAUGUGUAAGAUGAAAGUAACUAUGAACUCAUUUGUUAAAGUGAUGACUCGAAAUUCGGAGAGCGCUUCACUUCUAACAAUCGUCUUUUCCUUCGAAGAAACCUAGUAUUAUUACCACUAGAUUUUAGUCUAAUAUUUAUUGUGACUAAUUAUUAGUCUAGACUUACGAGCGAUAUUGUUUUAUAAGUGUUAAACAAUAUUUUUCAACUACUAUGUACACACAGGGGUCAGACAUGAAGCACCGGAGUACAGGACCAUUUUAGCAUUUAAGUUGUUCUAAAAUCCAACAACCCUAUGCGGCCCUUCAAACUAGGUUCCCCGUACCGCGAGCAGUUAAAAGGUAUUAUUAUAACACUUUUUAUAAUUUAUACUUGGCUCAUAUAUUGCUUAUAGGUUCAUAAUAAUGAUAAUGAACUUAAAUAUAAGUUAUACUUAAAGAAGGAUAAGCAUAACUUACUUACAAGGGGGUUUGGCUAGGAACUGGACUCUGCGGGGGUAUAACUUCUGAGCCAAAAGCUCUUCUUCUCAGAGCCUUCUAGCAUUCAGGGACUCGCCUCUAACACUUAGGAAGUGUUAGGGUAGGGAAGGAUAGGCUUUGAGUAUUGAGAGAGAAAGAAGGGUUGAGGUGUGAAGAAAUUGAUGAUUUGUGCCUCUAUUUAUAGGUUGUCUGGGGGCGAUUCAUGUUGUGAAACUUACAUUCACGUCAUGAACUUGCGUAGGCACUAAGGCUUCGCGUGGUGCUGACACGUGGCACUGUACGCAGGCAAAACAACAAUUUUUUAAAAAAUCAUAACUAUCGCAUAUGAGCACCGUUUUUGACGUUCUUUAUAUCCAUACGCAGGUAUUGACAAGAUCUACAACUUUCCUUUUGACCCAUUGGCUAAUUCUUGACCGAUUUUAAAUUUAAUAGUCUACGAAGAUUAUAUUGUUAACGACCAUGUAAAAUUCAUAACUUCCCCGUACGGACUCCAUUUUUGACUGUCUUUUUAUCGUUUAAAUCCUAUUAGUGAGAUCUUCAAUUCUCAAUUAGAUCAUUUUGGCUAAAAAUUGACAGAUCUAAAAUUCGAUUUCUGAGUAGUAUAUUGAUAUGCCAAAUCUUAGAAAAAUCAUCACUCCCUCAUAUGAAGUCAGAUUUGGAUAUUCUUUUUAUGUACAUUCUCCGUUUAACGUAUAAUACGACUUUCUUUUAGAUUGCUAAGGUCAAAAAUUAAUUUAUCAAAAAUUUACUUUUUACGUAACGCGGUGCCAUGUCGGUUUAGCAGUAAAACUUCGACAUGUUAUAACUUCUUCGUUAUAACUCGAUUUCAACGUUCUUUAUAUGUACGGAACCCUUGUGACAUAUACUAUAACUUAGUUAAAAUUAUUUAUUCAAAAUAUUCUUCUAUCAAAAAAAUCGUUUUUGAUGCUCGUUGUCUCUAAAUUGACUAGCCUGAAUUUGCGGGCGUUACAAAUUUUCUGUUUAAACUGUGAAUCAACUAUAUUAAGCUAUGAAUUUUGUGUAUAAAACUACGAAUUUGUUGUAUUAAAAAGUGAAUUUUGUAUAUUAAACUAUCAAUUUACUAUAUUAAGAGUUUUAAGUUGAUAAUAUGGUUGUGACUGUAUACUUUUGUGUAUUAAACUAUGAAUUGAUUAUAUUAAGUUAUGAACUUUUGUUUAUUAACUGUGAUUUUUUUUAUUUUAAACUGUGAAUUGACAACUUUAAGUUGUGAAUUUUUGUUUAAAUGAUGAACUUACUAUAUUAAGCUGUGAAUUUUGUGUAAUAAAUUAUGAAUUAACUAUAUUAAAGUGUGUUUUUUUAUAAAAUUUUUGUUUUCUUAUGAAAUAUAAGAUUAAAGAAGCAGUAUACACAUAAAUGAUUUUAUCUAAUUUUGAAGAAAGUAUGUAAAAUUUAAAAUAUGAAUAUUUGUGUAAAUAAAAUUUGAAAGAAGAAUUAACAUAUAGCUCUAAAGUUAUACAUGUAGGUUUUAAGUUGAGAUUGUGACUUUGAAUAUAUAAUUUUUUAGCAUUAAAUUGUAAAUUUACUAUAUUAAGAUGUGAGUUUUGGGUAUUGAAAUGUGAACUGAUUGCAUUCAACUACGAAUAUUUAAUGAAUUUUAUGUUAAAGUUUGAAUGAUUUAUGUAUGCAUGUAUGUAUUAAGUUUCUUGUGAAUAUAUUUAUUUUUUGUGUUAUAUUAAUAUGUAAGAAUGUAUUAGUUUUUAUAAGUAUUAUGCAUUAAACUCUAAAUAGUGAAUUAAUUGGUUUAUUAAAUUAUGAAUAUAAUAUUUUAGUUGUCAAUCAAUGAUUUCAUGUACAUAUAUGUUGGAUUAGUGUAUAAGUCCAUAACUAUAAUUGGUAUGUACUUGACCCGAUUUAGCAUGGUCCAUUUGGGUUGCACUUCACCGGAACAAUUUAUAUGGAUAGUCUUUUGAGAAUAGUAUGUUUAUGAUUUCUAUUAAUAUAUUAUAAGUUCUAAUAUAUUAAUAUGGAAUCAUAUUAUUUAAUUAGUAUUGAUCAUGAAUUAAUUUAGAAUUAAGUUAGUGAUCAAAAGGAACUAAUUAAAUGUGGACUCUUAUAUAUAUGAUGGGCCAAGUUCAUUUAGGUUGGGCUAAUCUUGCAUGGAUAGUCCAUGGAGUUUUUAACCAAUGGAUCCUAUGGAAAUGAAAGGUCAUGGGUAUUAGAGUUUACAUGAAUGUAACCCUAAUCCUCCAUACUAUAUAAAGAGGUCCCUGGCACAUUAAAUGGCACUAGUGUGUGAGUAAACAAGAGUGGGCCAAUUUCUAGUGUGCUUACUAUUCUCUCAAGAUUUCCAAGGUGUUUUUGGUGGUUUUUGAUUCCACUUGAGGCUUCCACACUAUUGGAGCUAAGCUCUUAAAGUUCAAGACUUCAAGCUACAUAAAAAGGUAUGUUAUCUAACUAGGCUUUUGUAGUAUAGUUGCUUCAUAUUAUGCUAGUUAGGAUAAAACAUUGGAAUAUUGAAUAUUUACAUGUAUAAUAGAGAAAACAUAGAUCCAAGGUUUAUAGGGUUGCAUGUACACCAUGGGAGUGUUAGAAUGCUCAAAAACCUUCAAUAUCUGCUUUGGAAAGAAUGAUAAUUACGACGGUGGCACAGGUGGUUAGUGGUGGCGUGUGGUAGUUGGUGGUGGCUAUUGUUAGUACUAUUCAUAGUAAAAGGUCGGAAGCGGCUAUGGAGAAGAAGGAUUAGGGUGAAGCAUCAAUGGGUUUUAACCCUCCUACAUUGACUCUUCCUCCGAAAACACCUUCCCUCCAUCGACUUCUCCCUCUCGGUGACAGCAACCGUCCAUCAAUGCUUUCUCUUUAGUCACAAUUCCAACUACCACUCUCUAAAACCUGAAUUCCCAAUUUAUAUCCACCUCCUUCAUUAAUGUAAUUAGAUCACCAAGUUUUCUGGAAAAAUAGAUUUUUUUAAACUCUCUCCUUCGCCUCUUUUACUCCAACAAAAUCUUCAGGUAAUUCAUUUUUUCAACAAGUAAUCAAUGUUGGUAUUUGCAAAAUUGUAAAACUGGUUUUGUUAAUCCCCUUUUUAUAACCAUUGCUUGUUUUUCUUGUAUAAUUUUGGGACACUUCAUACAGAUACUGUUACAUCCUGAUUUUCAAUGCGUGUGUGUAUGUACAGUCAAGCCUUUCCCUUCUAACGAUCCGAAGAAAUAACUGAAUAAUUUGUAAACAACUGGGUAAACACAAAGCUUAGUGAGUUUCCCAAAAUACCAUAUAUCAUAAUACAUAUACAUGCAUACAAACAAUACCAUGCAUAUAUAUAUAUAUAUAUAUAUAUAUAUAUAUAUAUAUACUAUUUGGAAAAUUCACUUUAAACUCCUCAUUAAAUCUAGCCUAAACAUCAUUCUUGUAAGUAGAUCAAUCAACAUUUUGACUGUAAUCACUAAUAAAUCUUAUUUAAAGAUUCCUAAUAACGACCAUGAAUAUAAAUAUAAGUUGCACUUAAAGCUUAGUAAUUGCAGCUUAACUUACAAGAAUUUUUUACCAAAAACCGGAAAGUCGCGGGCAGAAUCUCGACCUGAAAGCUCCUUUUCGGUGGGCUCCUAGAUAACUCAAAGCCUCGCUAAGGUACUCCAAAGAUUUAGAAAGAUCGUACUUAAAGGCUUUAAAUAUCUAGAGAGAUGUGGGAUUUUUUGUGUAAGAAAUGAGGAGAACUCUUCAUCUAUUUAUAGGGUUUAGGGGGGGUGUCGCACCUUAAGCCCCAGACGUGUCACAUGUUUGGCUGAUGUGUCCGGAUUGGGUUGCUGACAUGUGUUACUAUUUCCUUGGUCCACGUCAUCCUGUCGAUGCCUCCUCUGGCAAUACCACGUGUCAACAACUCAUGCAGUGAUGUGUCCUAAUCUCGUGGUGCCACGUCGACGUGUCAGGUAGAGGAAGAGGUUGCCGCCUCGCCACGUGGCAUGCUCUCAGGCCGCCACAUCAUCAAGUCAGGUAUUUUUCGUGAAUCUUUAAAGGGCCAUAACUUUCACAUACAAGCUACAUGUUCGACGUUCUUUAUAUCUCUGGAAUUGCCUCGAUAAGCACUACAACUUUCCUAUAGGUCUCAACAGAUAAUUCCCACUCUAUUUUAAAUUUAGAUUUAGACUAGUUUAGAUUGUUAGAAUUCUUAUUAAAUUUAUAACUUCUUCAUACGAACUUUGUUCUCGAUGUUCUCCAUAUCUAUGAGUUCGUUUUUAUGAUAUCUUAAACUCUUGUUUACGUUUCUAUGACUAAAAAGCAACCAAUCUCAAAUACACUUUUUAUGACACACCUAGUUGUGUCUGGCUGAAUACAAAACUUAGAUAAAUCAUAACUUCCUCAUACGAAGUCAGAUUUGGGUGUUCUUUAUAUCUACAAAAUCGUGUUGACAUCUACUACAUGUUUAUGAUAAUUAUUUUGGCUGAAAUAUAAUAUAUUUAUAUUUUGAAUAUUAUAAACAAAUGAUUAUAUGAAAUUCUACUGGAAAGUGAAAUCAGGGCGUUACAGAUACAUUUGUUUUUGUUUGCACAAUUGAGAAGAUAAAUUAUAUACUCAAUAUAUUGCUUGAAGAGAGGCUUUUAUCAAAAGUUGGGAUCAUAGUGAUUGAUGAACUUCACAUGGUAAUUCAAAUUUACUAUCUUUGAACAUUAUGAUGUAGAUUAUGCAUUUUUUUAAUCACUCAUUGGAAGUGAAUCAAAAUCAAGAAUCAUUUUUUUGUUGUCAAUGCUUGUACUGUUGCAUUUUUUGAAUCAAAAAUCAAUUUUAUAUUCUGUUAUCGAUGAACUCCAGUGUUAUUGUUCAAAUCCUUCCCUUCCCGACUCCUCUCCUUUGGAGACAACAACUCUCUGUCGAUGCUUCUUGUCUAGCAAUGCAUCCAACUCAAGCUCUCUAAAACCUAAAUAUCGAUUCCUCUCCUUUUUCGAGUCUAGACAAUCAUCAAAGUUAAAGAGGUGAGCACCACAUGUUGGUUAGAUUCUUAUGUAGUUUUCUCUUCUUUGUAUUGAUUUUUGUAGGUAGUAGACAAAAAUGACAACCACUGCCACACUGGUAAGAGUUUUUAUUGGAGUCUUUUCUUAUAAUAUCCUUGUUGAUUACAACAAAUAUUAUGUUUGACUUGGGAUUACGGUCGACUGAUAUAUUAUGUUUUCAGGUUUAUAUAUCGUGUCUCUAUAAUUGUCUUGAAUAAAUUUAUUUGUAUUAACUAUUGUUUUUCUUUGUAGUUAUAGUCUUCUAGAUGAUUGAUCAUGUAUUUCAUCUAAUAAGGUUUUUUUGGUUCCCUAUAUAUACCAUCUACAAAAGAAUAAAGCAUGCAUGACAUGUUUUAUUCUUAAUGUAGUAUUCUUGAGCAUUUAUAUGAUUUUAUUUUAUACUUAACAAGUAAGUUAUUUUGUUUUCCCCUUAAGCUAAUUAAGCUAAUUAUGUGACAGUAACAUUUGUUUCUCAUUAUCGGGUGUUAUUCUCAUAUUCUUCAAGUGUUUUAUUCUUUAAGAAUAUUAUGUUGCUAAUGCAUUCUUCUAUUAGAAUAAAAUAAAACAGUAUUCUAUUCCGGUAGAAAGUAUUAUAUUUGACCAUAUGGUAUGCAUUCUAUUAGAAUUACUAAAUUUUGUUUUAUUAUUUGUAAUAUAAAAGCAUUCUCACAGAAAGUUAUUAUUACAAAUUGUGUAUGAACGGAACACGGUGAUCAAGGACCUGAAGGUUGGAUGAUAGUGUGUGGAAUGGAGAUGAACAGCGGUCACCAAAGAAAACAUUAUUUAUCGUUAUAUUCUAACAGAAUAAUAUAUAAUAGAAUGAAAUAUAUAUAUANNAUAUAAAUUGUGUUUCUUUUUUAUUAUUGAAUGUUUCAUUAUCAUAGAAUAGUGAAUAAAGUUUUUUAUUUCUUAAAAUGUGAUGAAAAAAUUAACUUGUAUCCAAAAUUUUGUUAUUCUUCUAGAAGUAAGACUCUUUAUUAGUGCAUGACUUGCAUUCUGGCAAAAUAAAAUCAUAUACGAUUAAAAACUGAAUUAAAUAAAAAAAUCAGAAUUCAAAAUUAAGAUAAUAAAAUAUCCCAUAAAAUCCAAAAAUUUCCUUUUUUAAACUUGUGUUUCUUAAUUUGAAGGUAAUGCAAAUGUAAAAUAUUAAAUUUCUUUUAAUUAAUUUAAAAAUAUUGNAUCUAACGAACAAAAAAUGGUCAUACAUUCACACUAUAUUUGUAGUUCAUAUUUAAUCCUAACUAUAUAUAUAUAUAUAUACACUAGGUGUAAGACCCAUGUAUUACAUGAGUUCAUUUUAAAAAAAAUAAAUAUGAAAUUCUAAACAUUUGAGAAGUUUGCAUUUAUAAGAAAAAAAUAGAAAAAUAUUGAAUUAUUAAAAUUAAAUUGUUUGUUUUUCUUUUAAAUUAAAUAAAUAAUUUAGAUAAAUAAAUAAAGGAAACUAAUGAAACUUUAAUUUAGAAAAUUUAAAAUUAGAAGGAAGUCAAUUGGGUUGGAAUUCAGGAAACUAAAUUGGGGGAGUCUUUGUUGCCGUUCAACGAUGUCAGCUGUUGGGGGGACGUUGAUUGCGGGUUCGAUUAGGUAUUCACUACGGGGAGGUCUGGAGGGAUUAUAACUAUUUGGGAUAACAGAGUAUUUUCGAAGGUAGAGUCAAUAAAAUCUAGAUUCUACAUUGUGACUCUGGGAAAUUUGGUGGGUAUAAAUGGUCUCACUGGCUUUAUAAAUGUUUGCGGGCCACAAUUGGUUAGUGAGAAAUCAAAAGUGUGGGAGGAACUGUUAGCAAUUAAGCGUUCUAGACUAGCUACGUGGAUUGUUAUGGGAGACUUUAAUGUUGUGCGCCGUCCUGAAGAACGUAUCAACUCAACUUUCUGUCACCGUAGUGCAACUGCUUUUAAUCAAUUUAUUCGAAACGGAGAAUUCACUGAUUUAAAGAUGGUUGGUCAAAGAUUCACAUAUUUCAAACUUCAUGGUGCAAAGUUAAGUAAGUUAGAUCGUUUCUUAGUCUGUAAUAACUUCCUGUCCAUCUUUCCCCAGGCCUCCUGUUUUGCAUUGGAUAGAGAUAUGUCAGACCACUCUCCAGUUAUUCUUAGAGCUCGAUGUGAUGACUUUGGCCCCCCUCCUUUCAAGUUGCUUAAUUCUUGGAUGUUAAAAGACGGUUUUGACGAGAUAAUUAUGAAAGAGUGAUCAGAAUUUAGGGGCUAUGGCACACCUAGUGUUGUAAAACUCAUCGAGUUGGCCGAUUACUCCUCCGAGUACACGCUACUCGGCCCCUUACCGAGGCGAGUUACAGAAUCCCGAGUACUCCCCGAUCAGCCCUUACUGAACUGAUUAGUGUUGUCAAACCUUGUCAACUCGGUGAUUAAUAUGUAUAAUAUACUUAACGAUUUAUUAUUUAACACACAUGCACAUGCGAUUAUUACUACAUAUAUAUCUUAAAUUUUCAGUAUCUAUUCACGAUGUGAGACCAUUAUGUGUUUUUCUGGUUUUGUGUAUUCACAUGUAUCUAAUUUCGUUAUAUAUUUCAAUCAACUUAAGAUUUUAACUUAUGAUUUUGACAUAUAUAAGUUCCCUAAAAAUAUUUAUACAUGAAUUAUCGAAUCUGAGUACUCCCGAGUACUCCUGAGUACUCGCUACUCGGUAGUCGGCCGAGCAGGUACCGAGUAACGAGUUCUACAACCAUGGGCACACCAUAUAUGCGCUUGCUGAACAAAUUAAAACAAUUAAAAAUUGCAGUUAGACGCUGGAAGGCAAACACAGUAAAAAUGGAGAAUGCUGAAAUUGAGACAUUGAAAAAAAGAAUGGUUGAAAUUGAAAUGGCAGCGGAAUAUAGACCCUUAACGACAAUAGAAGUGGAGGAAAGAACUAACGGNNNNNNNGUUAAGAUCGUGGAGCAUGCAACAGUAAUGGCUUUAAAUCUAAAACAAAGUUCAAAACUUAAAUGGGAGAUGGAAGGAGAUGAAAAUACUCGAUUCUUCCAUGGUUAUGUCAACAACAGAAACAGAAAAAAUCAUAUACACGGUAUCAUGGCUGGUGGGAUCUGGACGAGUAAUCCGAUCGAAAUCAAACAGGAGGCGAAAAAAUUCUUUGAAGAUAAAUUCUCGGAAAAAUGGCCAAAUAGACCAGUAUUCUGGAACACUGGUUUUCGUAAACUUUCGGACUUGGAUGCUCGUAUCCUCGAACAAGAAUUUACCUUGGAAAAAAUAAAAGCGGCAGUAUGGUCGUGUGGUGGGGAAAAAUCCCCAGGGCCGGAUGGUUUCACUUUUAAGUUUUUUAAAAAAUAUUGGGAGCUGCUGAAAGAUGAUGUAUUGGCGUUAGUAAAGUUCUUUGAAGGUGGUGGUAAACUAUCAAGAGGAUGCAACUCUUCAUUUAUUUCUCUUGCAGUUAAGUCUAAGGAUCCGAUUCACUUUUGUGAUUUUAGACCAAUAAGUCUGAUAGGAUUAAUAUAUAAAAUAAUUGCUAAGUUGCUGGCUCUUAGACUCAAAUUGGUCAUUGGGCACGUCACUGAUGAAAUUCAAUCUGCAUACGUUGAAGGAAGGAAUAUUCUCGAAGGCCCAAUGAUUGUAAAUGAAUUGUGCUCCUGGGCAAAGGCUAGAGGAAGAAAGAUGCUCCUAUUUAAGGUGGAUUUUAACAAAUCCUUUGACUCGGUUAAUUGGGCUUUCCUGGAUUCUAUCAUGGAGCAAAAGAAUUUUGGGGUGAGAUGGCGGCUUUGGAUUCGUAACUGCUUAGAAUCCGGAAGAGCUUCGGUGAUCAUCAAUGGAAGCCCUACAAAGGAAUUCUCAAUGUCUAAGGGUGUUAGGCAGGGGGACCCAUUAUCCCCCUUCCUUUUUAUUAUUGCGAUGGAAGGAUUAAACUUGGCCAUGAAGAUGGCAGUGGAGAAAGGUGUGUUCGACGGGAUAAAAUUCCCAAAUUCUAAUUUGUGUGUGUCACACUUAUUUUAUGCAGAUGAUGCAUUGUUCAUUGGAGAAUGUUCUAGGCGAAACAUAGCUAAUUUGGCUAGGAUCUUACGAUGCUUUCACAUCUCAUCUGGAUUAAAAGUGAACUUCUAAAAGUCAAAAUUGUUUGGUGUGGGUGCUCCCCUCAUGGAAAUCUCGAAUUGGUCUGCCCCUUUUGGAUGUGAGCCAUCAUCGAUUCCAUUUACUUACUUGGGUAUCCCUGAUGGUGAGAAUAUGAAUAAAAAGAAUGCAUGGAGGCUGAUCAUUGAAAAGUUCCACUCCAAGUUGUCUACGUGGAAAGUGAAAGCAUUAAGCUUUGGUGGUAGAGUAACACUUGCAAAUGCGGUGUUGGGUAAUCUCCCAACAUAUUUUAUGUCUAUAUUUGUAAUCCCAAAUGGCGUUCUAGACACACUUGAAAAAAUUAGGAGGAAAUUCAUUUGGUGUAGAGAGUAUAACAAAAAGAGUAUUUAUUGGGUCAAAUGGGAUAAAAUUAUAGCACCAAAGAAGGUUGGAGGCAUUGGGCUUGGGUCCAUUAAAGCUACGAAUAUUUCUUUGUUAGCCAAAUGGAUGUGGCGCUUGAAAGCGGAUGAAUCCUCUAUGUGGUCCAAAGUAAUUCGAAGUAUCCAUAAUCUAGAAGGGAGGCAUUGGUGUGUUUUCGCUAAUAGAUCCAACACCGGCGUGUGGAAAAAUAUUAUAAAAACACGAAAUCGUUAUAUGCAAUAUAACAUUGAUCCAAAGGAAAUUGUGUCCUGGAAUUCAAUAGAUCGGUGUUGGGAAUCUGACAUUGUGAGAGAUGGAAGGUUUAUGGUCUGUCUGUUACGGGAGAGAAUAGAAUUGGCGGGAUAUAUCGUCAACGACGGACCAUUUGCUUGGGAUAAGUUGACUCCCUUUAAGAUUCUAUGUUUCAUCUGGAGAGCAAAACUCGGUAGAAUUCCAUCUGCUGUGGAAUUAAAAAACAGGGGUAUCAUAAUUCCAAAUACUAUGUGUGGUGUAUGCAAUUCAGAGGAGGAGACAUGCGAACAUAUUUUGUUAACUUGUCCUGUGGCGAAGGAAAUAAUGGAUUCGAUACUGGUGUGGUGCGAGAUUAGAUGUGACAGAUUUCUUUCGGUGGAUAAUAUGCUCUUGUUCAUCUCACGGUGGUCGAAGUGUAAAUAUAAAAGAAGACUGCUCAAUGCAAUAUUAUGUGGAGCUUUAUGGUUCAUAUGGAUGGAUAGGAACAAAAGGAUUUUUGAAAAAAUUCCAAUAGUUUCGGCGAACACGUGGAAAGAAUAAAAGCAACAACAUUCAUAUGGUGCAAGCAUAGAGGUUUAUUCAAAAAAAUGGAUUGGAGAGUUUGGAAUAUUAGUCUUUUUCUCAGUUUGUAAUUGUUUUCAAUUUCCCUGUUGUUCUUCGUUUGUUUUCUCAUUUUUCUUUUGUACUGUUUGUUUGUUCUCCACAUCUCCUUGAUGUGGUUUUCUUAUAUAUUUGCCGUUUUCCAAAAAAAAUGAAAAAAAAAAACCAAAAAAAAUGAAAAAAAAAACAUAAUUUUAUUAAAUUUAUUGCAAUUAGUACAUUUACAUAUUAUGUGGAAAUUAAUAAAAUGAAAAAAAAAACCAUAAAAUGUCAUAUGGAAAAAAAUUAUUUGAAAAUCACCACAAAAUGACAUGUGGCAAAAUCAAUAAGAACAUGACAUGUGGCAAAAAAGUUCUUUAUUUACUAGGGNAUAUAGCGUGUGUGUGUGUGUAUAUAUAUAUAUAUAUAUAUAUACACACACACACACACACACGCUAGGCAAAACCUCGCGCGUUGCGCAAGAAUGUCGUUAACCGGUUAAAAUAAUUGUGGGUAAAAUUUUAAAAUAUGUUGAAAUUUAACAUUUUAUUCAUCUUUUUGGGCGUUAACUGAAUUAACAAACAAUAAAAAAAUCAUUAAUUGGUAUUUUAAUACUAUCUAAUAUAGUCGGACGUUUUUUAAACAUUACUUUUAUAUUUUUAUACCAAUACAUAUUAUAAUUUUUAAUAACAUUGAUAUAAUUAAAAUACUAAUUAACAUUUUCUUUCUAUUAUCUAGUAAUAUUUUUUAGACAAAAAAUAAAGUUUUUUUGAAUGAAAUAUUGAUAAAUAACCAGAUAGACUUUGUAUUAUACUACUUAUAUUAGACAAAAACAUCCAAAGUUUUAGAUAUGACCUUUCAAGUAUUGAACAUUGAAAUUAUGAGUAAAAUUAUAUAAAAUAUUUCAUUAAACAUAAAUAUCAUCAAGGGUUUUAGUAUAUCGAUUAGUAAAUAUGAUAUUAAUUUUCAAAUACAUUUUUGGAAAACCUACAUUUGAUUUUGUUAGUACACUGAGAACCCCCUUCCGUACUUUGUACCUGAAAAACUAAAAUGAAUAGGAAUAUAAAAAUAGAUUAUACAAAGCAUGAAUCAAAAUAAUUAAAAAGGUAGUUAGAUCUUCUCAACACCGGUUAACGAUCAUCUGCCUCUUUAGUGUUAUCGAUCGUAGUAUCUAAAGUUGAACCAACCCUCCUACAUAUGCAUUCUUUUCGGAUUUCAUGAAAUUUACAUAACAAAUAUUAAAAGAGAAGAGAAAAAAUGUAACAUCCUAGUCGCUUAAAAAUUUACCAUUACAAUGUGAGAAUCAUAACCAAUAUCACAUUGGUGAUCAUGAAGAAAGGUUCAACCAAAGUGAAAAAUAUUAUAAGAAAUGACGCAAUCCCCAAUGGAGUUCAAGGUAUUCUUGGGUGCUAAUAACACUCUAUAAAGCCAUAACUUUAAGAGAAGAAAAAGAAAUAUGAGUAGAAAAGCAGGGAAGUAAGGUUAUUAUAUAGCCAAAAACAUUUCUAUGUUUUAUUUCUGUUUAUGUUAGUCGUAUUUGUAUUUAACUCGUAUUAUGGACAUUGUAAUUAAUGGUAACCAUUAAUUACUUGAAAGGUGAAAUAUUGUGAAUAUUGUGCAAAAAUUAGACUUAUUUUGAACCAUAUUCAUUUAGAUAGCUUUCUAUGAUUUUCAGAUUUUUCACUAUUAUCUUUCUCUUACAUCAAAUAUUUAUGUCGAACACCUAUCAUGCUAUAUAUAUUAUAGUUGCAAAUGAAAAUUAUAUAAGAGAAAAUGAUGGUGAAAUUUCUAAAAAUAUUGGAAAUAAAUCAAGUUAGAAUUUGAAUUUUAGAAAUUUUAGAUGAUUAUCAUGCAUAUAUGAUACAAAAGUAACGUAGUAUAAUCGGUUUGGAUACCUAAGCUUAUAUACCUUCUAGGGUAUAUUCAUUUUUCUUAAAUAUAUACAUANGUGUGUGUGUGUGUGUAUAUAUAUAUAUAUAUAUAUAUAUAUAUAUAUAUAUAUAUUAGGUGUGAGACCCGUGUAUUAUACGGGUUUAUAAAAAAAUUAAUAUCAACUUGUGAAUAUUAAACAAUUAUUAAAGUAAUACUUUUAAAUAAUUAAAAAGACUUUGUUGAAUAAGUAUGUAAUUGAACUCAACGUACUAAAAUUAGUAAUUAGGUAUUCUAAUUUAUUAUUAUAAAUCACAAAUUUCCAAAUACUUCUUUGAACAUAAUAUUAGAAGUUUUAUUGGUAAGGUUACUAUUAUUGUCUAAAAUUAAUAUUUUCAAUUUGUCUUUGCUUUUAGCUCUGGAAAAUACAACGUAAAACUGCCCAUGAGUAAAUAUUAGUUGUCUAAAAAACAAACCAACAUUUGAUAGCGAUUGUCCUUGACUUUUAUUUAUUGUCAUGGAAAAACAUACAUCAAGUGGAAAUUAUCUUCUUUGAAAUGUGAAAGGAAUCCUUUUAUCCGAAUGGGUUAAUGACAUUUUUGGAAUAAACAUACGGUUUCAUAUAUUACUUCCAGAAAUUAUCUCUACUUCUAUAACAUGCUUACCUAAUAUUAUAACUCGUAACCUCAACAAACCACAUUUAUUAUCAAUAUUCAUCAAUAACAUAACCAAAACAAGGACUUUUAAUACAAAUUUUUGAAUCAACAAACUUGAAGGUUUAAGGUCAUUUAGAACAUCAGGUGAGUAUAAAGUUUCGUCAAAAAUCAUGUACAAAAUCUGAAUGACAAAGACUAUCCGAACAUAAGUACUCUUUUUUAUCCUAGAAAUAAUGAUAACAAACAAUUGUUUAUUUCUUGAACGACUUCAUUUUUUGGUGCAAGGAUUGUUCUUUAUUGAAAAAACAUCGGAUUCUUGGAAUUUUCAAUAAUACAAGGACAAAAAAAUGUAGUUAUUUAACCAAUAGAAUCUGAUGAAUUAAUAAUGAGAAGAUCAUUCGAGAUAUCAAUAAUUGUCUCACCAUCGUUUAAACCACCAAGCUUUCCUUCUACUAUAUCUAAAAUCUAGUUUUGAAUGUCGUUGUUUCUUCAAUAUCAUAUGUUUGAAUACUUAACCUCAUAUUUUUUUUGUUAAUCUUAAUACUUUUCAAUUUGACCAAAUAUAGGAGGAGCUUAAUGAAGCAUUCACGAUGUCUUGUCCACUUCCGUUAGGAACAACAUGUAGAAUCUAUCUAAAAUCACCUCCAAAAACAAUUGGUUUUCCUCCAAAUGACAGUAUUGAGUUAUUCAAAAAUCUAUCUAAUUCUUCAAAUGGAUGCUUGUGAUUCAUAGGUGGCUCAUCCCAUAUAAUCAAUAAUGUUUUUUUAACAAUUCGGCAACAUCACUAUCGAGCGUUAUAGAAAAAAAAAGAAUCAUCGAUAAGAUUUAAAGGGAUUAUAAAGCGAGAGUGUGUUUUCCUACCUCCUGUCAAUAAUAAUGAAGCAAUAUCACUUGAAGCAACAUUUAACACAAUUUCACCUUCUGAUCAUAUGGCAGCAAAUAAUGUUUUCCAAAGAAACGUUUUCCUAGUACCUCCAUAACCGUAAACAAAAAAGACGUCUCUUUUCUUUUGUUGACUAUUUGUCAUAAUAUCAUCAAAAACACUUCUUUGUUCAAUUGUUAAUGAAUCAAGUAGCUGAUGAAACUCGUUCUAUAUUGUCGUCCUGUCAAAAUCUACCUCCUCGCUAAUUAAGCGGUUAUUUGAAGAAGAUACAAACUCGUGAUCAGGGUAAGGCAUUCCAUCAAAACUUUUAAGGCUUGAGUUUUUCUCGAGUAAAAAAAAUUAAUUUCAUAAAGUCUUACGUUCUUAACUUGAUCCUCAGAAAAGCAUAAACUUGUAGAAAUUAUAAGUUACUUUCUUCAAGAUAACUAUCUAAAGGUAAAACGUACUAAUAAUGUGACAUCCCCAAUUUCACGGCCAGAAAAGACCGAUUUGUUUAUGAUUUAUUUUAAAAUCAGAGUGAUCGUUUAAAGAAAACGGUUGUGGAAUUUGUUCCCAAAAUAAAAUAUGAUAACCAUUUAUCAAAACAUUUCUCAAAGAGAAUGUAUUUUCAUUAAAUAAUAAAACCUCGGGAUGUCAUGUUCCGAUACAGACCAAAAGCAUAAACAAUAUAAAAUAGACCUUACAAUAGUUAUUUAUAACUACUGAUCUAUAAUCCAAAACCUCUCGUCAAGUCCACCAACUUAUACUCUUGUGUCAUUACCUAUAAUGCAAAGAAAACUGAGUGGGUCAGGCUUGGGAGCCUGGUGAGCAUAUAGGGUUUUCAACCCAUAAUAAUACAAUUAUUAUAUUCAAUCAUUAAACAAACAACCCAAUUACCCAUCCCCAUUAUAUCCUUUACUCUUAAGGUUUUACCCUAAGAAUCAACUAUCAUUUAUUCAUUCACUCCUAAGGAUUGACCUAAGGAAUUGGCACGAAGUCCAUUGCUGCCAAAGUUUAUCUAUCAGGUACUAAAUCCAUAGUUACCAGCGUUCGUCUCUACGGUACUAAAUCCAUAGCUACCAGGGUUUGUCUAUACGGUACUAAAUCCAUAGCUACCAGGGUUUGUCUAUACGGUACUAAAUCCAUAGCUACCAGGGUUUGUCUAUACGGUACUAAAUCCAUAGCUACCAAGGUUUGUCUAUACGGUACUAAAUCCAUAGCUACCAAGGUUUGUCUUUCGUCUCAUCCUCAAACUCAUCCGUCAUCACACACCAACUAAUUCGUCUACCCACGUUCUACCCAACAUAUUUGUAGAUAUAACAUACAUAUACAGUUUAGAUCAUUUAAAAACCUGUAUAAAACAAUCAUUCAACCACCAUCUCAAGUAAAUCAACAACAUAUAAACACAUAGCACGUAUUUCAUAGCAAAUACUCCAUAUCUAUGUGGUAGAAGAAAGUUACCACACACUCACACAUAUAAACAACAAUAUACUUAAUAUAUUCAAACAAUACUUGUAUUAUUAUCGUGUUUAUGAAAGGGACUAUACACUCACUUGAUCAGAAGAUGAUCGGACAGCACUACGGCUUGUAGAAGUAGUAUUCUUCGGUGAAACCGGGAUCACUUCACNUGAUACCGGGGCUUCGGGGUAUUUCUGGCACGCAAAUCGAGGUAAAACGGGAGAGAGAAGAGAGAAAAUAGCAACCCUAAACGGCUGGCCCUUCAAAUCUAUUUAUAGGGCAAAUUUGGCCCUUGCCACGUCGUGGCAACCUUUUUCCACGUCGUGGGCUUGGUCGUCACUGCAUGCGUCAUCCCAAGUUGCAUCUGGGGGCCUUCCGGAGGUGACAGGACACUUGCCACGUCGUGGCAACCUUGUUCCACGUCGUGGUCUCUGACAGUUUUGGGGUUUCGCGCCCCGAACUUCAGAAAUUCAUAACUUUCGCAUACGAACUCUGUUUUCGACGUUCUUUAUAUCGCCGCGAAGGUGAGAUUAUGCUCUACAACUCUCACUUAGACUCCAUUGGCUAUUUUUGACUUUAUUUUUAAUAUAUUAUAAUUAUAUUACUUAUAUAUUAUUUUUAGUAGGCCGGGACAGGAAAACUCCGUUAUAAACUCAUAACUUCUUCGUCUGACGUCCGUUUUCGUCUGUCUUUCCUUCGUUGCACUACUAUCGAUGAGAUCUUCAAUUCUCAUUUAGAUCACUAAGGAUAGAUAUCUAUCAACCUUAAAUUCACUAUUUACGUCGCGCUGGGUCGCGCUAGGUCGUGCCGGUUCUGUCGCGAAACUUCGACAGGUCAUAACUUCUUCGUUAUAACUCGGAUUUUGGCGUUCUUUAUAUGCACGGAAACCUUGUGACAUAUACUAAAACUUGGUUAAGAUUAAUCCUUCUAAAUAAUCUUCCGUCAAAAAGUCAUUUUUGAUGUUUAUCGUCUCUAAAUUGACUAGCCCUGAUCUACGGGCGUUACAAAUAAUAAUAAGUGUAACAAUAUUUUAUUAAAUAUAUAAAAAAUAUAGUAAUUUUUAUUGAAUAAGUAUAAUGUAUUAUGUAAGAAAUAUUAAGUAAAACAUUAAUUUAAAUAAUGAUAAAUAUCAUGUGACUUUAAUCGGAGUUGUUGAAUGUAGAGAAUUCCAUCUGAAAAGUAUUGCUAAGUUUUUUUUCCGAACAAAACACGAUCUAGACUAGGGAUGAGCAAAAGGACCAGGUAACCGGCUGAAACCGGUCCCAGAACCGGCACCCGAUAGAAUCGGUCGAACCGGGACAUAUACUACAAUUUCGUGAAUAUUUGAAACCGGGACCCAGUAAGAACCGGCUGUUGGAACCGGCCCAAAACCGAGAACCGGACCGGAUACAAAAAAACUCAUGUUGCUUGAACUUCUUUUGGUCUUUGGACGUAAGUAAGACCGGUUUUUGACUUUUUUGGUUUUUGAUUUUUUUUAGUAUGACCGGUUUUGAGGGUUAAAAUGUUAAAAUAAUUUUACUAAAUAGAAAUCAAGUUUAAGAGGUCUUAAACAUUAUUGUCUUAAAAGAAAAGAUUAAAGCAACCCCAACUUCACAAUCAAAUUUAAUACAUUGUUGUUUAUUUGUCUUAAAAGGAAAAAGUAUAGAAGAACAUUACGAUAUCUAAUUUGAGGCUUACUAGCAAAAACAAUUAGAAAUCUAUUGUAAAGAAACUACACAGUUAUCUUCCUAAUGUGUCAUAACAUGUAAAUAUGUAAUAUAGUAGAUAACAAUAUAUAGUUUGCGACGAUUAAAGAAUAUUCAAUAUUUUAUGUAUUUAACGAUAAUUUUAUAUAUAACAGGUAACAAUUUUUCCAAUUGCAUGCAACCAUGUAAGGAGAAAAAUCCUCACCCAUGAUUUUCAAAAACAUUAUUAGAAUAAAAAAUUUGGAAUGUUCAUAAUAUACCGGUUCCGAAAUCGAAAAACCGGCAAAAACCGGACCCGACAUCGGAACCGGUAGAACCGUCAGGUCAGUUCGGUUCUAAACUUUGGCUGAAGCCGGUUCCAGUCUGGUUCGGGCCGGUUCCGACCGGUCCGGUCCUUUUGCUCAUCCUUAGUAUAGACAAACUAUUAAAUUUUAGCAUAGUUGCAAAUAGAUAACGCAUAUAAAAUCCAAAACCUGAAUGACUUGCUUCCUUAAUUUCAAGUGAUAGCAUGUGUAAUAUACAUUUACAAACAAUGAGGAUGAUGAGGGCAAUUAUGUCUAUUUACAUAUUAAUUCUAAAUCUCUGCGACUUUCUUAACCCCUUUCAAAAUCUGAUGCCUGAUUUUCAAAAUUAAAUAUCUACAUAUAACUUUUUCAGUUUUUUUUAGUAAACAAUGAUGUUUAAAAAUUAUGGCAUUCCUUCGUAGUUAGACUAUAAGUCUUUCUCUUUUUAUUUGUCUAUUAGAAAUUAUGACAAGCAUAUUCAUAAUAUUUAUUUAUUUGCAAAUUGUUUCAUAAAACAGUAGUUUUCAUAAGAUUUUAUAUCUUGUCUCCUUCUUAUAUUCUUUAAAUAUGCAUAACUACAAAGAGAAACGAAUGUGAUCAAUAUUCCAUAGAAUGAGUAUGCAUAACUAAACAUAUUUCUUGAUCGUUUAGCUGCAAAGACAAUAUUUUACUCCACACUGAGAGAAUCCACAAUGCAAAUAGUAUAAGAGUUGAAUAUGAUUGAAUAAGAGUUGAAAGGAGUGUGGGUGAUGACAUGGAGUAGAGUUGGAUGAAAGAGUUGAAUGAUCAUUGAAUGGUUCAAUAGAAUGAAUAACGUGGUGAUUAGGAUUGAAUAUGUAUUUAAUGGGUUGUGGGUGAUAUUUUAUAGAUGUUUAAUGGAUGAUGUGACAAUCCAUUGAACUCUAUAGAAUUCAAUGGAUUGUGGAUACCCUGAAUAUCACACUCAUCCCUCUUUAUAUGCAACAUAGACUCAAUGCAUUUCCAGAGAUCAUAAAAAGGUUGGAACAGAAAAAGACUAAGACUACACCUGAAGCUCUUUUCACUCAAUGCUUGUUGAAGAGGCUUCAUGGCUUACAACAAAAGCAUCACAUAUAUCAAAAUAUGUAUUUGAUUCAAGGUUCUAAAUAAUGUAAGGCGUGACGUGGCGACAAUGUCAAGUCUUAAGGCGGCAAUUUUGUAUAUAAUUCAUAAUUUUAUAUAUUUUCUACNUAUUCAUUUUUAUAUAUAUAUAUGACUUAAGACGACAUUUUGUUAAAUCUUAACAGUAAAUACAAGUUUUGGAGUCAUGAUGAAACAAUAACAAGCUUUUUAGAACCUUGAUUUGAAUUCAAACUCUUUUCAUUUGAUUUGUGAGACACGAUGUUAGAAUUUCUUUUUAUUUGGAUCAAGACUAAAAAUGCGAGAUUUGAAAGCCAAAAAUACGGUCUAUUAUCUUAUAAAAACUUAGAUCAAAUUUAUGAAUCUCACCAAAUUAUAAAGACAAUGUUUGUAAUUUACUCUUUAGAAAAAUGAGUAAUCAUUUUGUCCUAUAAAAGGCAAAUGUUUGUUUAAAUUGAUUUCCUAUUUUGGUAUUCUUGUGAUGGUUUUUUUAUCACAUCAAGAAUGUAAUAAUUAGGCUUCAAGGUACUAUUCAAAAUUAAAAAUAAUAAUAAUAAUCUAUAAAAUAAUUUAAGCCAAACAAGAGGAGACAAGUUUUAUAAAGAAUGUCACCUUUUGUGAUUGAAAAACAGUAAGAAUCUAACAAAGUUGAUAGGAAACACAUGGGACGUUCGGAAAUGAUAUUUUCCCUAACUUUAACUUUUCUCUUUCAUUAAUACAUUGUCAAAAAAAAGUAGGCCAAAGUACAAUCAGAAGAAAAUCGGAGGGUUUCAAAAGUAAAUAUGGGUUCCAUCAUUGUACCCAUUUUCUACCCCCUUCAUCUCUCAUCUACUCAUGUGUGGGGUUCCCUGGGUAAGUAAAACAGUAAACACCAACUAGGAAUCCCCAAUUUUACUGUUUUAUUUUGCAUUUACACCCCAAGAUUUUAUAUAACUUGAUGAAAACCCCUCUUUUUUUUUUUUUACCUUGCAAAUAGUAGGCAAAAUCAAGAUGGUUCCUAGUUUUGUCAUAUUAUUGAGCUUUAUAUAUGUGGUGGUUAAGGAUUAGGUAAAUAUAAACGUUAUAGUUUGAUGAAAAUAAGAAGCAACCAUAUGUAAUCAGUAAUAACUAUAGUCUACUCAUAUUAUUUUAAUUUGAAAUAUGUUUAAAUAUGUGAUCAAUUUCAUACAAACUUAUGUGAUAGUUUAUUAGUUGCUUUUAAAGACACUAUAAUGCAUGUAAAUCAUAAUGUCCAACCUAUUUAAUUAUAAUAUUCAUGAUUUCCGGAAAACAUCAAUCUCAAUUGAAUUGUGAAAUCACUAUGAUAUGAUAUUUAUAUUCAAACUUUAGUUUUAUUUUUAUGAAUUACAACAUACUUCGAUGCAAUUAAGGACAUAUUCAUCGCCAUAGUAACUUUCUCCACACGAGUUUUACUAGACAAACUUCAUUCUUAAAUUUAUAACUCGUGUUUUUAGUGUAUUAUGUAAUGUUUCUAGUAGAUUUAACACUUUGUAAAUUUAGAUAAUGAAUAAAAUAGAUUAUGAAUGUCUUUAUAAAUCGAUCUAUUACUAUCAAGUGCAAUUGGUGAAGACUCAAUAAUAUAAGGGGUGCAAUUUGGGAAAAGAAUAGAGUGGUGGAAAGAAAAGAAAAGAAAAGAAAAAAGGAAGGUUAAUUAUGGAAAGGGUGUCACGGGUUGGUUUUCUACAAUCAUGCAUACAUUUCACAUCUCAGACCAAUCAAAUACACGUGCAUUUCGCAUCAUUUUUCUAUUUUUAGAUAAAUAUUAAGGAAUAUAAUAAUAUUAUAUACAAACUAAUAAAUAAAACAAUUUUCAACAAUUUGUUUUUCAUGAUUUAUACUAAUACUUAAGCAAAAACAUGUUGCCUUUGACAACAAAUUUUUUAUUCGGACUGUUCAUUUUGAAUCAGUUUUGAUUGUUAAUCGCUAUAAAUUAAUUAUUUCCUUUUAUUUAACUUUUAAUAUUUUACUUUUAUUUUUAUUCUUUGUACAAUUAUCAACUUCAGUAGAACCCCACCCCUACAUUAGCGGACAUCACAUCACCAACUCGUUUUAUAAUUAUAAGAAUACUUACACAAUGAUUAUUGGUUGUUCAAAAAUUAUAUUCACACUCAUUGAUAUUUUUUUUUUACAAUUUUAAUCUUAUAUUUAAUUUUCUUUGCGUUAGUGAUCCUUAUCGUUGAGGUGGCUGAUAUAAAAUACUUAAAAUACCUUUCUCAUAUUUUUAUAUUAAGAUUUGGUGUUCAAAUUAAUAGUAAAUUACAAUUAAAUGANNNNNNNNNNAUAUAUAUAUAAAUUAAAUGAUUUUGGGCCCACCUCCACGUUGGGGUGUGAAGUCUUGACCGAAGUGUGCUCUCGGUAGAGAAGGUGCUCUUAGGAAGAAAAGAUUUACUGACAAGAUAAUGCUAAGUCCUAAGUGUCUGCGCUCGUCGGGGAUGCACUCCAGGCAUCUAGAUGUGACACGUUGGAGCGUCAUCUUGGAAUCAAGAUGCUUCACUUGGAGCUUGAUAAACAACCUUGGAAGUAGGAUGCACCCCUCGGAGGAAGAUGCAAUCCUAUGUGCAUGGUAUAUGACCAUGCAUCCUCAAGACUGGAGAUUCUAGAUGUACAUGCAUUGUGUCACUUGAUUGGUUGAAAAUUAGGACAUCUCCUUCAUGAGCUAAUUACGGGUGAGCCCGACCCAUCAUAAUUAGGGUUUUCCAUGAGUACCUAUAAAUAAUCACAUAUCUCCAUCAUUAUUCUUUGUUAGUUUAUGUGGACAUAUUCAAGAGAGAAGUCAUUGUAAUAGCACAUCAUAUGGAGCAGUUUGUAAGCAAGGGAGAUUGUUUUGUUUUGAGAGCUCAAGUGAGGUGCAACAUUGUGAGUGAUUGUAAUUGUUCUUGAAAGUUAAUAAAAUCAUCUCUCUCUCUCUCUCUCUCUCUCUCUCCCCCCCCCCCCCCCCCCCCCCCCCCCCCUUUUUCUCUCUUUUGUUNNNNNNCCGCGCGCGCUCUCUCUUUUGUUCGCUUGUGGAAGUAGGUUAUUUGACCACACCAUGUUAAAAAAUGUGUCCAUUUUUUAUUUCCGUUUUCAGAAGUUUUAUUCAGCAAGUUUUACCAAAGUUCAUUUAUUAUUUGUCUAAAGUGAUUAAUUUGUUUUGUUGAAUUACCCAACAAAUUGGUAUCAAAAUUAUGGUUGAAUAUAAGAAAGUUAAGAUUGACAAAUUUGAAGGUCAUGAUUUGAGAUUCCGGAGAAUGAAAAUUGAGGAAUAUUUAUACCAAAAAAAAUUACACGAACCAUUGUUUGGAAAGAAACCCUAAGCAAUGAAGCAAAGGAGACCUGGUGUGGUGAAAUUAUUUUUUGAAACAAAUGUAGCAUACAAUAUUAUCAAUGUGAAAAACUAGAUUUUCUGCAAUGAAACAAUCCCUCUCCCAUCUCCUCAUAUUUUUUGGUGUUUAGUCUUUUAGGUGUGAGCCUUUAGAGACAUCCUUAUUUUAGGUACUACAUCCUUCCAGAAGCAAUCAAGAAUUCAAGAUAUUUAAGGAAAUCAAAAGUAAAUACGAUUUUAGUUCAAGGGUUAGUAAUCAUAUCUCUCUUGGUAGUUCAAAUUCAUAGUUUUGAAAGUAGGUUGAUAUAAUAGUAAAACCUAGAUUUAGGGUGCAUGUAUACCUAAGAUUAUUAUUAAUUUCUUCUGUUGCCUAAAUUUUGUGUAUAGAUGCACAGAAAACCAUUUAUUCGUUUUAGAGCCAUUAGGUUUUAGUUAUAAGAACUACUUGAAAAAACUAAGAGAAUCGAAAGAAGCAUGCUAAUUGUAGGACGCGGCAUGCCUGUUAGAACAUGAAGAGCUGAUCCUUAUGAAAUCCAAGAUGAAGGAGUUCUGAAAUGAAGAUUUUCGACGUGAAGAUCGUUCCGAAGUGAAGACUAUUCCGAGAUAGAGUGUUUUUUUGAAACAUUUUGUGUCUGUAAUGCAUUUUGUUGUUGAAAGUACUAUGUUGUAAUGUUCUUAUUGUUUUCUAGUAUCGUACAAGAGACAAGAUCAGCAGCAACGACUGUGUCAUUCCGUUGAUCUUCAGAAGUCUCUCAGUUCAUGCGUACUUUAUCAGAUUUGUCUUUGAGUUACCCCUUAACUAUUUAAGGAGGUAUCUUCCUUUGUAUCAAGAAGAGAAGUGUGCACCAUUUUCACUUUAAUCAAGAAUCAUUCAGUUAAUCAUCAUAUCUUACAUUCUUCUUGUUCUUAAAUUACGUUACAUUGUUCAUACGUAUUACUUUUCUAUAUUUGAGCACUUUGUUGAUUAUCUCUAUUCUAAUAUAGGACUGGUUUACCAAAUUUGAUUGUAUCUUCAUUACAAGCAAACAUUGAUCUUAAGUUCAUUCAAGGUUUGAGUUCUCAAACAUUGACCGCGCAAAUCCUUUCAUUCACAAUUGGUAUCAGAGACUAAGUGGUUGUCAUUUGAAUCAAUAAGAACAAAUUAUAGUUUAUUGUUGAUUACCUAGGUAUCUAAAUCAUUUAUGUAUUCAGGAUCAAAGUUCUUUUAUAUGCCACUUCAGCUCUAAUAUCUUAACUUCAAUGGCUUCUUCUAAUCAAUCUCAACAGGUGUACUCAAUGCAUAUAGCAAAUAGCGUGGAUUGCCCAUCGCGUGCCCCAUUCUAGUUGUUGAAGUGUAUGAUCACUGGAAGGUUAGAAUGGAGAGAUUUUUUCCUGGUAAAGAAAAAGGUGAAGAAAUAUGGACGUUAGUGAAAGAAGGUCCUCAUGUUCCUGUUAGAAUAUGCUAAGGACUGUUUGGAUGAAGUUCCUCAAAAACCAAAGGUGAAAGACUCUGCCUACUAUGCUCGUAGAGCACAAGAACUUGUUGAAAGUGAAAAGGAUUUUGUCACUACGAUUUCAAGGAAUGUUGAUGGGUAUUGGUUAUCUGGUGAUGAGGGUGAAGGAAAAUGUAACAACGUAAAUUUUUAAAACAAAACUUUCAUUUAAAAUCAUAUAAUUCUCAUAACACGUUUAUAAAAAUCUUAGUUAUUUAAUUUACAAAUGCAACUCCAUGUUUGUUUGAUUACAAAUCCAGGAUCUUCGAAACAUAACUCUUUCACUGGUGUGUACAAUCAAGUCGGCGCCUUCCCGUUAUCCUGAGAAAAACCUGAAACACAUAACACAUAACACGGUAAGCACGAAGCUUAGUGAGUUCUCAAAAAUACCACAUACAAAAAAAUUAGCCACUCGAGGCUAUAACUCUGUAUGACCCUCUGGUCAAUGUGUCUCAGUGGGACCCUCUAGUCCCAUAACUCUAGUGGACCCUCUGGUCCUAACUCUGUGGACCUUUCAGUCCUAACUCUGUAAACUCUGAAUCAUACAUAGCAUAAAUCACAUAGAAAUAAUGCAAUGUAUCACAUCAUACAAAUAGCAUAUAGGAUACUCUAUCACACAACUCUGAUUACCACUUUAGGUAAAGUAUAGUGAGAAGACUCAUCUCGCAUGAUGAACAACCUUUAGCAAUGUUGCUACUAAACACUGUCCACUAACUAUGUGUCAAAGCCCAUAAUUAACCUAAUUAGGAGCUAAGUCCAACCCUCACUCUUAAGGUCUAAGGUUGUUCAAUAUCCAACCCAUUAACGACCUAAAACCCAUUGGGCCCACCAAGGCCCAAUAACAAAUGGGCUCUCCCAAGGCCCAACUCUCAAGUCCAAGACACAUAUAUAAAUAUUCCCCUGGUCCAAAACCUUUUUGUAACAAACCUAACUCCAGGCCCAACGGUUAAGGCCCAAAAUGGGAUUUAGCCUGGAAAAGGCUCACAGUGAGACUACGCGGGGCGUACCUCCCUUGGUACGCUUAGCGUACACGCCAAUCUCGAUCGGGGGACUCAAUCCAGUAUGCGGGGUGUAAUAGACUUACGCGGGGAGUAAUGCUCAUGUCCAAAAACUCCAUUUCCGACGUAACCGCUCCAUCCCAAAGCAUCCAGAUCCCAUGGAAGCUUUGCUACAAGCUCAUAACUGAUAAAGUUGGUGAUUUAUCGGUUUGCAUGUCUUAAUGGGAACCAUCAUUCAUAAAUAACCAUUAAGACUCUCUUUACUCAUCUUAACACCUACAUUAGGAGUUCUAAACGACCAAUUUCUCAUUUUUAUGAAUCAAGGCAACCCAAUACACUUAAAAGGACAGGAGAUUUGCUCUGGAGCUCACCAAACUCACAAAGUUUCAAUCUUGGGACAUAAAACCCUAGAAAUGGACUCAAAACAAGAACUAGCGCAACAAUGAGCAAGUUUCGAACUUGAUACCUCUGGAAGAUGCACCAACAAGUGUAUAACUUAGAUCCAAAAGCUAGAUGCCCACGCUAUUCUCUUCCAAGGCUCUUUCUUCUUCCAAGGACAAACAUAACAAGUCUUCACCCCUCUAGAUCCACAUGAGAAAGCCACCAAGAUUCAAACUUUAUUCUUUCUGAAGCUAGAUCAAUAAGAUUAGGGCUUGGAUCCACAAGCUCCAAGCCAAGCAAUGCUUCCUCAAGGAACUCCUUCUUCCACCAUAUGCACCAAAAACUCACUAAAUCACCCAAAAUGCUCAAGAAUCACUCAAAUGGAGGCUUAAGGUUGAUUUCUAGGGUUUAGAGGGAUGGAGGCUGAAGAUAUUAGGGUUAGGCUAUGAGAUAAGGAGCUUAAAUAGGGUCCAAGACCCUAAAAUAGGGUUCAGGUCUGAUCAGCGUACGCCCAACAUACAUUUGGUAUGCCUAGCGUACUCCGAAGAACAUUCGUGACCACCCCUGGUCAGUACGCCCAACGUACUCCAAAGUAUGCCCAUCGUACUCCCUUCUGCACCAGUACGCCCAAUGUAUGCUUUGUGUACGCCCAUCGUAAUCGAAUAAGCUUGCAACCACCAAACUACUGAAGGCCAUAACUUCUUCGUUAUAGAUAUGUUUCCGACAAUCCUUAUAUCAACGAAAAGGUAACGAGAAGCCCUACACUUCUAUGAACUUUAUUACUCCUGAAGCCCACUCAAGCUCAAAUCCAAAAUUCAUGAAAAGCCUGCACUAGUGCCUUUAGCAACAAAUUUGGGCUCUAAGGCACAAAUCAAACCCUUUUAUCACACAACCGACCUUACCCAUAUCCCAAAAGGCCUAAACCUUUAUCCUUCAAAUCCUCAAAACCUUCUCAUACUUGGAUUAAGGCCCAUAGGCCUUAAAUCACAAAACAAUCCGGAACAGGAUGUUACAGAAAAUCUAGAAUGAACUUGUGUCUUAUGGCUAGAUAGUCAAUUGAGUGUGAUGAAGGUUACUGGUCUUUUGGUUCGGAAGCUGACGAUGAAGAUGUUGAGCCAAACUACUGCUAGAUGGCAACUAACGAUCCACCUAGUCGUAGUAUCAUCCAUCAGGUAAAAUCCAUGAUUACUAAUAAUAAUUUAGAUUUAUCUGUUUGUGAACCUUAUCUAACUCAAAUUCAAUCAAAUAUGACAGAUAUUUAUAAAACCUAUGAGUUUGCCAUAGAAGUUAGUGAGAAGAUGGAUAGUAAGUUGACCCGUCAUAGAUUACGAUUUGAAGACUGUAAGCUUAAGAUAGAAUCAUUAGAGAGAGAAAUUGUAAUGACCAAAGAUGAAUGUGUCAUUCUAAAUGACAAAUGUGAAAUUUCAAUUAGUGAAAUAAAUGUUUUGGUCACUGAUAAAAAAACAUCUUAAUGAUAAAAUUGAUGCUUUGCAUAAUUCAGUUGAUGUUCUUGACGCUAAUGAAAGGAUGACACAUAAUUUUGUCACCCUUGGUCCAAAGCACCUGGUCUCGGAAGCAAGUUUCCAAAACCUAUUCCUUACAGUUAUAAAAUUUAAUGUUGGCCUUCGAUUUGAAACUUGACCUCCCUCUGUUACCUCUACCUCUAUCUGAUGUCCUUCCUCUGCCUACGAACAAACCGGAACUGGAAACUUCUUCCCCAACUGAAACCUUUAUUUUUAGUUCCUUGGACAUCAAAGAAUCCUUCACAUCAUUCACAGUUAAAGUUUUCCUACCAUACAACAUGGUAUCAACAAAAUUCUCAUAAGAAUUUGACAGUGAACAUAAGAGGAUAAGUGCUUGAUCUUCAUCUUCAAUCUUUACAUUCACAACUUGUAGGUCCAAGAUGAUCAUAUUGAAGUUGUCCAGAUGACCCUUCACUUGGGUGCUUUCUAACAUCCUAAGACUAUACAAAUGUUGCUUCUAGUACAGACUGUUCAUUAUAGAAUUGUUUUGAUACUUGUCAUACAAUCUCUCCCAAAGCCCAUCAACAUGCGUUUGAUCCACGACCUCUCUUAGUACUUCGUCUGACAAAAUCAACAGAAUAGCGCUAUGCGCUCUUUUAAGAAUAUUCACCUUCCUUUCAGCCGCCAUGUAUUUAGGCAGUUGAGCUUCUCCUUCAAGUUCUAUUGUACAUCCUUAAUAAACCAUAAGAGCCUUCAUUUUCACCUUCUACAAAGAGAAAUCAUUUGAACCAUUGAACUUCUCCAAAUCGAACUUGUGAAAUGUCAUCUUUAAUCAACAGAAUACCAAUCACAGCUCUGCUACCACUUGUUAUGGAAAACAUGUGAUACAUGUCAAGACUUAGAACAAAUCUGAUGCCACUUGCCAAGUUUUGAUGACCCUUGUUAAGAAGUAAAACGGAUAACUAGCAAAACUAUAAGCACACAAAGACACAAUAUUUACGUGGUUCAGUUAAGGCAACCUACGUCCACGAGCAGGAGGGGAGUAUUAUUUAUAUAUGAGUUCUCAAACAGAGGUUACAAGUACAAUUCACCAGAGAUUUGUCCUGCUCACUAAGCAUACAAGAUACAAGACACAAGACACAAGACCUUUAAUGACUAAGUAGGCAUCCUUAUGUAUAGUUGAGAGAUCAGACCUAAAACCCUAAUAGGCCAAGCCUAUUGGCCCAUAAGCCCAUGAAUAGACACAACCAAUCAUAUUCCGCCAUGCAGCAUCUUUUGGAACAUUAUUUUGUGUCAUACAACCCAUGAGCAUCAACAACACUCAUGAUGGACCACCAUGAGUCAUAGUGGAGAAACAUGAUGUACAAGUGGCGCAUCCUGAACACUAAUGGCCCAACAUCCACAUGGUGGCACAACAUGGUGCAAUACUUGAGCAAUGCCAACUUCUAACCAUCCUUCAACGAUAUUGAGCAUCAUAGAGUACUUGGCUCAUCAGGGAUACCAUAACUCAUCAUGGAACCAAAAUGGCCCAUCGUGCACCAUGAUGGUGCAACAUGUGCAAGGAUGGUGCAACAGGUAUUAAGAGUGGCAUAAGAACUUCUAGGUUGGAGCAACAUCAUCACCUUGGCGCAACAAGGACAUGCUUGGUGCAACAAGAACCUACUUGGCGCAAAAAGGCUUCUUCAUGGUGCAAGAGGGACUCUCCAUGGCGCAAGAGGGAUAUGCUUGGCACAAGAAGCAAUGCCCUUGGCGCAACAUCAUCCCUAUUGGACCAACACUUCAUCAUUUCACAGAACAAGUUCCUUUGUUGUUUUGUAUCACUCCCAAGUGCUCCAAACCCUUACAGUUGCAUCAAACCCCCUUUUAUAUGAUUCGUUCCUUUAACAGUUGAUCUGUUCCUUUGUCAGACGAUCCAUUCCCAUCUCAGAUGAUUUGUUCCUUUGUCACAUGUUCCACGUGUUGGAUAAGGUGUCUAAGUCCAUAACUUAUUUGGUAUAUACUUCACCCGACCCGACAUGGUCCAUUUGGGUUGCACUUCAUCCAAACGAUUUAUGGAUAAUAUUAUGAGAAUUGUAUACUUAUGUUUUAUUAAUAUAUUAUGAGUUAUAAUAUAUUAAUAUAAAGUCAUGUUAUUUAACUAAGUUUUAAUCUUUAAAUUAAUUAUGAAUUGAUUUAGUGAUUAAAAGGAAGACUAAUUAAAUCAUGGGCUAUUAUAUUUAUAUGGUGUGGGCUAACACUCAUUUGGGAAUGGGGCUUAGCUUAUAUGGAAGUCCAUGGAGCUUUUAACCCAUGGAUCCUUGGAAGAGGAAAAGACAUGGGUUAUUAGGGUUUACCCUAAUCAUCUACACUAUAUAAACAAGCCUAUGGUGCAUGAAUUGACACCCUAGUGUGUGUGAGAAGUGGUGGCCGAUUUCUAGUGCAAAGUAUACACUUUCAUAAGUUUUCCAAGUUUGUGGUGAUUUGUGAUUUCCAUUUGAGGCAUUCACAUUAUUGGUGCUUGGCUCUCAAACUCCAAGGAAUCAACACUCAUCAAAAGGUAUGUAAUUCAUCUAGUUCUUUUAUGUUUAAAAGUUCCCCAUGCCAUGCUAGAUAAGUUAUAAACCUUGGAAAACAAUUUUGCAUGUAUUAUAGAAAAACAUAGAUCCAAGGUUUAUUAGGGUUGCAUGUACACAUAGGAAGUGUUAUAAUGCUCAAAACCCAACAGUGGUAUCAGAGCCUAGGCUUGUUUGUUUGAUACUUGAUGCAAAAUAGUGAAAAAAGUCGAUUUUCUUGCUGUCUGCAUGAUGAACUCGCCGAGUCCAUGGGGGGACUCGCCGAGUAGAAGCCUUAGAAUGCAGAUUUUCGACUUUUGCUGCUGGAAAUGGACUAGAAACAUUACCCUAAACUGUUUUGGUGUUUUAAAACUUUUUUUAGUUAGUGUAAUGGUUUUUCUAAUCCAUUUACAAUAGCUUAUAUCCAAAUUUCAUGCUUUGUAUGUGUUCAUAUAAUCCUUGAAACUUUGAUGAUGAUGUUCAUGUUCUUAUGAAUUUAGAAGAUGAUAGGAAUUAUUUGUUGAAUUGUUUAGGAUUAAUUCUUGAACAUUUAUGUGUUUUAAUGGAUUCCAUAAUUUGUCCUCAAGUUAUGGAUAUCCAAAGGUCACUUUCUUUAACACACACAUUUAAACACAUAAGUUACAUGAAAAUGAAGAGUCUUCAUUUUUAUGAACCUUUAAUUCAUAAGUUAUGAAAUGAAAAGUUUUGGAUAGUUACAAAACUUGCCCUUAAGUUUUGGAAUUUGUAAAGUUUCACACACUUUAAUAAACUUUAAUUCCAACCCUUAGAGUUUUAAUAGUUAAAAUUCAACACUUAUACUAUUUAUAACAUUAAUGGUUAAUUAUUAUAUAUAUGUAUAAGAAUAAGUCGUUUUACCGUUAGUAGGCCUCAUUCACGAAACCGGUCUAUAAGGGGGGUAUAAGGUUGUUGCCUAUAAAAUGGCAGCUUAAUGGGUGUCCACUCUCACCCACCGCUUCCUUGAUCGGUGGAGGGUCGUUAGCCAAACGGGUAGGACAAUGAAUUUAAAUUCUCAUUAAAAGUAUAAUGAUUAUUAUAAAGUAACUAAAUAUUUUAAUUCCUAAUCUUAGUUACUUUAGGAAAAAUGUGAACAUCGUGCUAGUCCAUGGAAUUCACACUUUGUACCUUACUAAGUCGUUGGUGGAGCGUGUUUGGUUAACCGGCACGCUAACUUUGACUAAUAAGGAUAACGAAGGGUGACUUAAUGUUUGUCAUAGAUCAAUGGAGCAUGUUUGGUUAACCGGCACAUUGGUUAGGUGAUAAUAUUAAGGGUACCAAGUGAAUUAGCAUGGUUAUUCACACCUUGUUUUGUGAUCCUCGACAUCCCAGUCACAAAACUUGAAGGGCACAAUCGAGAUUGAAACAUGCCAUUGAAAAGUUCAAUGAAUCUGAAAAGAAUCUAGGAAUUUCGAAUCCAAUUAAAACCUAAUAAUUCAUUUUGUUUUUCAUGGUGGGAAUUAGUGAAUCGUCAUUCACCUACCUUUCAAAU
rnacentral:lncRNA from 1 species